UACAAAAAUGUUUAGAUCACUACUUUAAUAACCUAAACGCUCUUACAUUUCUUUACGGGGGAGUACUUUCAUAUAUUUUUGAUAAUUGCAUAUAAAUCGUGUCUAGAUCAGAUGGUUCUUAAACAUUGUAAAGCCCCAAAACCCAUCUAGGGUGCCUCCCCAGCCAUCAUCUUCCUCCGCCGGUAGAUUGUUGGCCUCCUUGGCUCCAGUAAAAAAACAGCCAUUUGUUGGUGUGGAGCAGACAGCGUGGUUGUACGUCUUCGUCCUCCGGCUCCAAUAGAUCGAUAAAGAUUUGCCGUUCUCCUCCCGACUCCUCNNNNNNNNNNNNNNNNNNNNNNNNNNNNNNNNNNNNNNNNNNNNNNNNNNNNNNNNNNNNNNNNNNNNNNNNNNNNNNNNNNNNNNNNNNNNNNNNNNNNNNNNNNNNNNNNNNNNNNNNNNNNNNNNNNNNNNNNNNNNNNNNNNNNNNNNNNNNNNNNNNNNNNNNNNNNNNNNNNNNNNNNNNNNNNNNNNNNNNNNNNNNNNNNNNNNNNNNNNNNNNNNNNNNNNNNNNNNNNNNNNNNNNNNNNNNCGCGCCGACCGGGCCGGCGGGGGAUCUCUUCUCCCACGACUCGCUGGAUCUGGAGUGGGCAGAUCGCGGCGGUGGUUGGCGGCGCGGGCUUGGGGGCGACGGCAGUUUUUUCUGGUGUGCGUGGGAGUCCGCUCAGGGCGCGCGGCGGCGGCCCUCGGCAAGCGAUGGCGGGCGCUGGGCUCUCGGCGGCGCUCCGGCGUGUGCAGGCGGCGGUGGUCCCUGUGCGCGGUCGGCGGCUCCAUCUCUGACCCAGACGGCGCGGGGGAUGGCGGCAGCCCGACGUGGCCGGCGAUCUGGAUGCGGUGGUGCCGGCGGCCCGCUGAUCUGCCAGUGCUCCAGGGUUUCGCCUGGUGGUGCUGGUGGUGACGGCGGCCCGUGCACGAGAGUUGGAUCCCUUCGAACUAAUCUGGGUGAAAACUUGCCUUCGGCGUUUGCUAAGGCCGUUAGUGGCGGCGAUAUAUGCGUCGUUCCCUUCUUGAAGGCAUCGCCGUGGAGUUUGCCGAGGGCCGCCGCCGCUGAGACGGAGGCAUCCAAAACCUAAACAGCAAGACCUGAAGUUUGUUCCGCUGAGACGGAAACAAAACUUUGGCCCUCAAGUAUUUGGAUGUAUUUUGCAGUUUCUGUAAGGAUGUUUUUUUAGGGGCAUGUGCUAGCCUUUUCGCCAAAAAAAGAUAAGAUGAUUAUUAGAGGUGACUUAGAAAUAGAAAUAGUUGUUUCUCAGGCGACUAAGAAAUAACAAAGUUGUUAUGGGAAACAAUCGUCCUUCCAUUCUACUGUUGGCCGACUCUCUCCCAAUCGUCAUUACUUCCUUUCUCUUUUUCGACAACUUUGUCAUGUCGUGUGUACAUCAAUUUCGUUCGAGAACUUAAUAAAAAAAAUCGUUCGAAACAGAGAUGGUCGUCUCGAGUAAGGGUGCCGACGCUUCAAUCAAGAAGCAUGAUGCGCCGUUGUUACCCGCACCUCUAGGAGUGGCUCCCAUGGUAACGGUGUGGGAAGUUUCUUCAUAGAUUUAAGUGUGUAGUUUCUUCUUCCACCUUCCGAUGCUGUCGCCAAUCGACGCCUGGCGCCGGCCUAACUGCCUAUUGUCGCCACCCAGCGGUCGACUGCUAUGCCGCGCAUGCCUCGCCACCCCUCAACGUGUUGCUGACGCCCCGGCCAGACCUCUAAACCCCGGCACAAUCUCCGUCGUUGGCGACUUCGAAGCAAACCCCGGCACCUGAACCCAUCAACCUCCGACUCUCCUCCACCAGCAACGCCGCUGCCAUGUCUGCCCUAACUCCGGAUCGCUCCUGGCUCGGCCUUGCCGCGGCACUUCCGUCUCUGCCUUGUGCUUCGCCCAAAAGCGAUCAUCCCUAAUCGGAAUUUCAGGCAAGAUGAAUAGCAAAUGCACACAAAACUGCAUGCAGUGUCACUGCAAGAUAAGUUGGCCAGUAUUUUCGAUCAGGAAUACCUUUCCUGGUAAUGUGGAUGGGGAAAUAGACUCCACAUAUGAACAACAAACACCAGAGAAGCAAGUUUAAGAGUAUGUGGCACAAAUAACGAUGUAAAGUAGCUGAGCUUUAUUCAGUUUUCAGAAGAUAUGAAUCCACAAACUAUCUUUAGCCUGCGAUUCUAUCGCAGUUGCCCAUGUUAGUACACCACGCAGGAGUCGAUUUUACCAGUGUGCUCGGUAACACGCCGCAUGCAGAUCAUCACCAUAAACCCAACUUGGAACUGACAUGCAUGCCGCGUGUUGCCGGCCCGGUCCCUAGCUGCUCGUCACACGACACGGAUCGUUAGUGCUCCCAGAGCAGCAACGGCGCCGGCUCGAACCGGAAGUCCUCGGCCCCGACGUCGUGCCAUGAGUACGCAUCAUACGUGGAGGGAGGCAACGCGAAGCCGAACUCGUGCAGGAACUCCGGCAGGUCGAAGAGCGCGAGGUCAAGAAUGUGGUCGUCCGGCACCGCAUGCGCUGCCGCUGCAGGUGCCGGCGCUGGCUCCUCGACCUUGGUGUAUGUGUCCUCGACGGCGUCCGCGUCUGGUGCGCGGUCCAUUUGCGCGGCGAGCGCGGCCGCGGCUCGCACGUCCUCGGGCGCGGCGGUGGCGGGGAGGGGCAGCUGGUGCGCGGUCUCCGGGAAGUUGAGGUGCGCGGCGGCGCGGCCCUUGAUGGAGAGCGCGGCGACGUCGUGGGCGCGCGCGGCCAUCUCGGCGGUGUCGAAGGUGCCGAGCCAGAUGCGCGACUUCUUGCGGGGCUCGCGGAUCUCCGACACCCACUUCCCCCAGGCCCGCAUGCGCACGCCGCGGUAUGUCGGGUGCUUCAGGUCCCGCCGCGGCCGCUUCCUGCUGCCCGCGGCAGCAACGACGCCGCCGCCGCCGCCGCUCGAGUCGUCAGAAGACGACGUCGUGAGGGGGGAGCUGGGGCCGGAGCCGAGGCUGCUGCAAGUGGUGGAGGAACUGGACGCCGGCGACAGCGCACCCUUCUCCUCCAUGGGUACGUACGUGGUGGUGGUGGUGGUUCUGAGGAGAACUUGACACAGUGGUCACGGCUCGCAAUCUCAAACAGUCAGACUGUUUGGUGUAUGCCUGUCACUUGCUACGCCUCAGGGCUUAAGAGUGAGCGAGAUAUAUACUGGUAUUGUAGUGUCAGGUGCGCAACGGAUUAGUAUUAAUUUAGCGAGAGGGUCAAAGCAGGGACUGUGAGUGGAACGUGUAUACAGUACUUGUUUUUGCGUUCCCGAGGAGGCGAGGAAAUGUGAUUGUUAUGCAGAAUAUGUCUAUAUAUUAGUAGUAAAAAAGGCUAGUUAAGCAAGAUGACGCGGCUUUGUGGGAGGGCCAUGUGUUACUCACUGCGGCUGUGAGAAUCGAUAUGAUCACGGCUAACUUGCUAAGACAGAUACGGUAAGGUGAACUCAACUGCGUUGCAGUUGCAGGAUCGGUGAUGAAAGCACGUAGUACUGUACAGGGACUGAGAUCAAUUGACUAGCUUCCAAACAACAGCAGAGAACAAAACUGAUGGGCCUCACCAAGCUUGAGCCUGGUUCUUGGAUUUAUGCAUGCUGGCCACAAAACUUGACAUGGUCAAGUAUGGCUUCGCCUUGAUCUUUAGAAGUUCUAGUGUGACAGACAACAACGUGUGCCCCGCUUUGCAAUUGGGAGUUUGGACACAAGGGUUUUGUCAAAUCUUCCAACAAUUUUGCAAACUUUUUGUAUGUUUUCGACCUCUCUUUCAUCACCAGAGUCUCACCAGGUCUUUCUUCCACGUUAUGCAAUAUGUAGCCCAAAUUUCUCUCAUCUUGCACGACCACAUCCCUCGAUUUAGAAUUGGCUUCAUUUUCUCCGCAGACAAUGCCAUUGCCCCUUGGCCCCCACAUAAGUCCCAGUCCAUCGAUUUGGAAUCGGAUCCCGAGAGUUUAGCAAUUGCUACGCCUCAUGCGGCUCUGAUGGAUGACCACCAUCACCGAGAACAACACCUCGUCCACCUUGUCGGCGACGAGUCAUGUGAAACCUUAUGUUACCGCAUGCUGGCGUUNNNNNNNNNNNNNNNNNNNNNNNNNNNNNNNNNNNNNNNNNNNNNNNNNNNNNNNNNNNNNNNNNNNNNNNNNNNNNNNNNNNNNNNNNNNNNNNNNNNNNNNNNNNNNNNNNNNNNNNNNNNNNNNNNNNNNNNNNNNNNNNNNNNNNNNNNNNNNNNNNNNNNNNNNNNNNNNNNNNNNNNNNNNNNNNNNNNNNNNNNNNNNNNNNNNNNNNNNNNNNNNNNNNNNNNNNNNNNNNNNNNNNNGCACGCCGGUGUUGCAGCGGUCCUCGGCGAAGAAACUAAAGAAAAGGCAUACCCAACCCGUUAUCCCUCCUACCUUCGGCCCGGCAACGGUCAAAACUAGGGCGUCUUCCCAGUCUUACGUUGGACCAGAAAUGGUGUUCAGUUAAAGAAAGUCAUUCAUUGCCUUGUAUACGGUUUUUGUUCGACUAAAUGCAAGGUGGUCGUGGAAAAAUGUUGGCAGAUGUGCAAUGUUUGUGAUUUAGAGAUGAUUAACUGAUUUGGGGAGAUCGAUGGUCAACGACGAAUUAUUUCUUGAGAGUAUGAUGGGUGAUACCUGCUGCAGGACAAAUGAUUUUGAUCUCGAAGGCGCAUCAUUGUCGCAUUUUUGAUCAAUUGGAUGUGAGAUACAGAAUUUGAUCAAUUCCGACCCUCCGGCUUAUCGAGGAAGAAACAAAUUAGGGAAGCAAACUUACCGUAUGUUGCACUUGUCAUGGUAUGGCAAGAUAUCUCUCUCGAUGCGGUCACCAGAAAAAUUAGUCAAGUGCAAAGUACUGGAAGUGCAUCGAGGAGCAUUAGAAACAUCAUCUAGGGCAUAGAACAAAGCGCACCAUCAAAUCUCUCACAAACCGACAGGGUACGAUUCAAGAGAUGUGCAACCAUUGGGAGGGUUGUUUGGAGCAAGUGAAGCUCGCUCCUCCUGGCGUUGUCACCAUUGACCAAUGUGUAAGGAAUCUUGUUGUUGUUUUUAUUGCCACAUUUGCAUACUUUGAGCAUUCUCAUCAAUUUGAGCAUUUCUUUGUUUUAGGAUAACAUAGCCCAAGAGGGGUACCCAAAAAUGGUCAAGCCGAAGAAUCAUUUAGCCUCCACGUUGUUGGAGGGCCACGAGAAGUGGAAAUCAGGGAAUGAUGACGACACUCCAAAAACUGAAAAGUGCAGCAACUCCUCUCCGGAGAUGGAGUACGGUGAAGAUGAUGGUGGUGAUGGAGAGGAAAGGGAAAGAGUGCCUAAAAGUCCUGCUCAGGCGUCUAUCACGGGUUGGCCCGACAUGAGUAAGAGAGGAAAAGAAAAGCUCAAGAGGGAAGGAGAGGUGGGGGCCAUGAAAAAAAGAUCAAUGGGUUGAUGAGGACAAGAAACGGGUACUCCAAGAAGAGGAAGCCAGAAAAGAUAAAGAUGGAGGAGGAGGAGGAGAUCCAAGACAAGAGGGCGAGUUGGGAUGGUAUGCAAGAGAGCAGGCGGCGUUAGAAAAAGAUGGAGGCGCGUAGGCUCAAAACAGGAGCGUCGGGCGACAACUGAAUGAAAAGCCGAGGAAAAUCGGUUCACAUCAUGAUGGAUCCAGUGGCGCGAGAAUUUUGGAGGAAGGCGUGAACGGUGAUCAUACAUUUUAGGGAUCUCACAGAAGGGAUGGAUGCACACGCCGGAGGAGAAGGGGACGGUGCACAGGUUGGAAACAUGUGAUUUGUACAUGUCAUCGGUUUAAAUGAUUUGUCCAUGCAACUUGUCAAAAACUAUGUGCAUGUUCACUUGAUGUGCUGAGCGUUUAAAUUUGGAGGCAACCAAAGUGUUGAGUGAGGAAAAUGAAAAAAAAAAUAGAGGUUGAGAUAUGGCGACUCUAAGUUUGCGUGUCGCCAGACCAACCUUCAAAUGUAUAUGGCGAUUUUAAAUCAGAUGUAUAUAGACAUGUUUUAUUGUGUUUGUUUACUCAUUUAAGUAUGUACCUAGUCUAUACUGAAAUACCUAAAAUGUCUUAAUAGUGAACGAAGGGAGUGGUAUCUAAAGCAGAUAUCUCGUGAGAAAUUCCACUCUUCAUUUUCUUAUACAGAGUGUGUGUGUAACUGAUAUGUGAGUUUGUGUUUCAAAUAUAAUUCAUACUUCCUUCGUCCUAAAGUUAGUAUAAAGUUGUGACACUUAUUUUGGGACAGAGGGAGUAGUUUGUAUGACUGGCUCUGCCGUUUCAUAGCUUAUCUUAUAAAUUCGGACACUGUGUCUUUUGCUCUAAAAAGAUAUCCUUUGUGCAAGCAAAUGGGUUGCAACUUGCAACCAAUGAAGUAACAAAAACCUCUCUGUUCAACUACGGCCUGCUAAAUUGGGUUCGUUGCCGGAUUAAAAUUGCGCGUGGAACUUCCAUCAGAGAUCCCGAAGAUUUGGAUCUUGCUUGCAACAAACAGGUGGGGUUGCAAUAAUGCGAUGUUAGCAAGGAGUUCAGUUAAAUAUAUCUAUCACCCUCUGCAGUGGCUCCAUUCAAUAUGGCUGUGAAAGACAAUUCAGAAGUAGUAGUCUCUAGAAAUGAGGGGGGAAAUCGGUUUAGUUCAGUGAGAACAACAUGCAUGGGAAGACUAAAACCCUAAAAUAAACAGUGCAACCAAAGGAAGGUGGCGAGAUGCAUCAACAGAAAACAGUGCAGUAGGAUCCGCUUGCUGACCAAAUCGGCAUAGUACUCCCUCUGUUUUUAUUUACUCUGCAUAUUAGAGUUGACUAAAAUUAAACUUCGUAAAGUUUGAUCAAGUUUAUAAAAAACAAUAUAGACAUUUAUCAUAAUAAAUCUAUACGAUGUGAAAGUACAUUCAAUAAUAAAUCUAAUGUUGUUAAUUUUUUAUUGUAUAUCUAAAUAUUUUUGUUUGUAAACUUGGUCAAAGUUUGUAAAGCUUGACUUUGACCAAAACUAAUAUGCAAACUAAAUAAAAACGGAGGGAGUAUUUCCAGAUACGAUACUCGGAGCGCUUCUCGAAUGCUCCUCGCGUAGACCUACAUGUAUGUAGGUCACGGAUCGAUCGGCGAGCUAGCUAGAGAAGACCGAAAGAAAAAAAAUACUAGGGACUGCGUGGGGCGCGCGUCCAUAAAAUAGCGCCCACCAUCGUCUCAUCUCGGCGUUGUUUAGUCCCACCAGACCAAAGCAAAAGAUGGCAUCAUUAGGGCAUAAGCAAGCGCAAAAGCUUCCGGUGAUGCGAGCUGGCGCAGUAGCCACAUGCACGCCGAUCGAGCCCUGAUCAGCAUCUGCACUGAAGAAGAUACCGCCUCAUGUGAUCUGCGCGAGUAAACUAAGACCGCCGCGAGUAGAGUAAUGGAUACUGGCAGAUCGGAAGGAGCGGAAAGCGCUUCGAUCGGAAUAUUCGCGUACCAGUACCAGUAGCUAUAGGCUCUCAUAGCUAGCUUAGGCUGGUCAUAGUGGGAGUAACAUAGGUAGUAACAUAGAUGCCACAUAAGCAAAAUUGGUGAUGUGGCAAGUAGUUAAUGAGGAGAGAGGCAAAUAGAGUAACAUAAUAUGUUACCAUCACAUAGCGGUUUCCAAUGCAUAAUGAGUCUACAAAGUAAUAAAUGAAGGCAACUAUGUUAUCACACCUAUGACACUACCCACUAUGAAGGUAGUAAUAUAGACUAGUAACAUAUGUAUGUUACUAGUCUAAGUUACUCUCCACUAUGACCAGCCGCCACAUAAGCAAAAAUGAUGAUGUGGCAAGUAGUUAAUGAGGAGAGAGGCAAAUAGAGUANNNNNNNNNNNNNNNNNNNNNNNNNNNNNNNNNNNNNNNNNNNNNNNNNNNNNNNNNNNNNNNNNNNNNNNNNNNNNNNNNNNNNNNNNNNNNNNNNNNNNNNNNNNNNNNNNNNNNNNNNNAAUUAGGCUGGUCAUAGUGGGAGUAACAUAGGUAGUAACAUAGAUGCCACAUAAGCAAAAAUGAUGAUGUGGCAAGUAGUUAAUGAGGAGAGAGGCAAAUAGAGUAACAUAAUAUGUUACCAUCACAUAGCGGUUUCCAAUGCAUAAUGAGUCUACAAAGUAAUAAAUGAAGGCAACUAUGUUACCACACCUAUGACACUACCCACUAUGAAGGUAGUAACAUAGACUAGUAACAUAUGUAUGUUACUAAUCUAAGUUACUCCCCACUAUAACCAGCCUUAACAUGUGCGGUUACAGUUUGACAGCCAUGGCCAGCGACAAGCGAGCUCCUGUUGCCAGUAUAGCGCGGUGGGUAGCGCGUCCAUGGCCGAGCCAUGCUGCCAGUCCGUUUCAAUCAAGCGUGGAAAGCUACGCCGCUACUACGGAGUACGUUUAGGUUGGUCGUAAUGAUAGUAUCAUACUACCUCCGUUCGGGUUUAUAGGUUCCCAUUGUAUUUCGUGCUAAAUUUUGACCAUAGAUAAAACUAAUAAAAUGUUCACGCAUGUCAUCAAACAUUAUAUUUUUGAAAACUAUGUUCAAAUACGAAUCCAAUGAGAUAAAUUUUUUUGACAUGCAUUAACAUUUUGUUAGUUAAAUCUUUAGUUAAAAUUUGGCACAAACUACAAAGGGGACCUAUAAACCAGGACAGGACGGAGGUAGUAGUUAGUAUCAUGCAUGCCAACCAGACAAUUUUGACGAGGUGUCAUAGCAUUAAAUGAAGAAAAAAAGAGUGGAGUAUCAUAAUAAAUGCUAUGCUACUUUGUGUCAUGCAUGACAAUAAAUAAAGUAUUACAUGAUACUACUAUAUGAUACUAUGCAUUACGGAGGUAGUAUCAUACACUACUAGUACCAUAUGCAUGAUACUAGUAUAUGAUACUCUCCAUUACAACCAGCGAUCAACGAACAAACGAACGGAGCAACGGCAAUGCAUGCCUAGCUGAUGCCAACGUGAAGGGCCUUUAAUGGAACCGAAGAGCCCGAAAGCUCCUUGAUCGAUGUCUACAUGCAUAGCACACGCAUCAUGUAUAGUAGCAGAUUGUACUGGCUUAGCUAAAUGGAUCGGCACCGUUGGCUAGGAUCCGAGCACAAAAGCGACGUGGCCGGUUACGUGCCACGCCGGCAGCACCUUCUUAAUUAAAUGGACAGCCACGCUUUACAUCCCGUGUGGCUCGUGGUUUGUUUUAAGGGUUAAUUAUCCUUUUGCUCUCAAUGGUAUCCAUGUGCUCAGUUUUUCUCUCAGAUGCGAAUUGUGCUCAGUUUUGCCCCUAGUCCGUGCGCACCGACUCGUUCCGUGAACUCUGCCGUCUCCGUCAGGUCAACCUUUUGACUCGGCCCUUACAGGUGGGACCAGGCGGCAGAAACGGCCAAUUUUAUUCAGACCGUUGCACGCGUGGUUUGUGGGACCCAGCAAAGAGCCGUUGAGUAGAGAGCCGUUGGCGAGUGUGCUAUAUAAGCGGGCGACAGCGGCGGUGACCACGGCAACAGAGAGCACGGCGGUGACCACGGCGAGAGAGAGAGCACGGCGGCGGGAAGCUAGCUGUGGAGGGUGCGGCGGUGGGAAGCUAGCAGUGGAGGGCGCGGCGGCAUUGAGAUCCCCUUCGGCUCCGAGCUCCAUGUCUUCCUCAAGCUCCUGCGCCACCUCGCGGAUGCAGAGCCGGGCGCGUGUGGACAUGCAUGUCUUCGUCUGUCCGCGGUGCCGGGCGGGCGUUGAUCGAAGGGUUUCUCAGACACCGAGGAACCAAAAUCGUCCGUUCUACGUGUGCAGCGAGAAUGGGGUAAGAAUCGGGGCAAUUGCACCAUUUUCGUCGUCGGGAUGUUUGAGCAAUGGGUUGAUCUGUUUAGUGUUCAUGCAGGUGACAUGCUUCUUUCUUUGGGUCGAUGCUCUGGCCAAGACUCUGAUGAAUGAACUGCAAGAAGAGCAUGAAGAAUGGUUGCGCAUGCUGCCACGAACGGCAGUGGCCACACCACGAGCUCCGGAAGAAGAGAUGGAUGGCGAAGCACGCACUGACAGAGAGCUAGCUAUUGAGCUUAGGAUGUUGAAGAAGAAGGUUAGGAAGCUUGAAGAUCAAGCACUACCAAUACCCAUUUGCAAAUACUUUUGGGCAUUUGUAGGUAUGGUAAUCGCACUGGUUGUAAUGUUGAAAAUGUAUGGAAAGGCAUGAAAGGCUGCAAGAUAAUUUUCAUGUGAGGCUGCAAGAUAAUCUUGAAAUUGUUUGAGAAAUUCACCUAGUUUAAAUGUUGGUUAAAGUUAUUUAAAUGUUGAAACAAAAAGAGAAGAAGUGACCAACAUUUAAAUAUGUUGGAAAAAAAGAGAAGAAAUUAGGAAUUCAGAAACUUUUGAUCAAUGAAAUGCAGCUCUCUGCUCUGCCUUUCUGUCCAAAAAAAAGGUUGCUCUUGGGCCAAAUUCAGAGCGUAGAGCCAAGUGCAGGCUAGACUAAUGGGCCAACUGCAUCCAAUUAGGCCCAUUCAGGGGUUUUCUUGCGUAUUUUUUUGUUUUCUAUUCUGAUUUAAUUUAGGCAAUAAAUCAUAAUGCUGAAACUUUUUGUGGAAGCUAAUUGAAUUAUUCCGGAGCCAAACAAUUAAGGUUAGAAAUUUUUUGGAGCCGUUAAUUAAUCCAAUUCAAAUACACCGUGAUUUAAAUCAAAGACCAAAAUGUCAUGGAAAAUGUGCCUCAGCUCUGGUAGAGGUUUACGCCAGGUGCCAAAAUAAAUGAACAUUUUUUAAGGGCAUUACAUUGAGGAAAACAUAAUAUGUAUAAAAAAUGAAGGGUGGAAAAUGCACAAAAAAUUGGUGCGGCUGGGGACUCGAACCCAGGACCACGUGGGUUUGUGGUGUUUAGGGCUGUGCUGGUAACCGCUAGGACAGAUGGCAAGACUCUGACAUGGGUAGGGAAGGAAGGUAUACAUAGUGAGACUGUAAAUUUUUUUAAAAAAAAAUAGUGAGACCGUGAAUGUUUGCACACGCGUGAGAGUGGUUUUCCUUUGUUUUGCACUUAAAUUUUGGAGGGUUGGAAGGUUGAAAAUGUAUGUUGCACUACCACAUGAUUUUGGUCAGAGUGGCACUUGGUUUAGGGUUAGAGUGGCACUUGGUUUAGGAUUUAAAGGGAAUAAAUUUACAUGUUAGUUCAUGACUUUUUGUUUGAAUGAAACAGAGGGCUUCUCACCCCCUACGAUUUUCAUUAAUGAAAACCACAAGUUCUUGAACUUCAUGACUUGUUUAGGAAAGAAAUGAUAAGUUUGGGCACGGACAUUUUUUAACACACAUAAUGAGAUAAAACACACCGUACCAUUACAAUAACUUAGAUAAGUUCACGGACAGUUCAUGGACACAUGACGAAACAUGACACGACACGACAUGACAUAGAAAAGCAACAAAAUAAAAAACCAAACAUGACGAGCUUGACUCCGGGCUUGAACAUCUUCAUCUUGACCUCCUUCUUCCAUCUUGGCCGCGCGCGCCCCUUCAACACCAUCUUCAUCUUCACACCUUCUCCUCGUCGUCGUAGGGAAGGGAGUGCAUCUGGCCUGGAGCGGGGAAGAUGCGCUCGUAGUUGGUGUAGAUGUUGCAGAUGGUGAAGAAGAUGGCCUCGCAGCCGCACCAAAAGACUUGGCUGAGGAGCUCGCGCGCGUCAAAUGAUUUGGUGAAGGUGACCGUGAGCAGUAGGAGGAUGCCGCCGCGGUCACGAACCUCGUUGAGGGUGAACAUCCUUGGCGAGCCCCGUGGGAGGUGGGCAUAGCCGGCUCUGAGAAAGGCGCGGGUGAGUUCGACGGAACCCCUCCACCUUGAAAUAGCCCACACACGGAGCUCCCUCUCCACGAGCACGCCCGGUGGGUACCGCAGCUCCGGCACCACAGGCGGACGGCGGAAGGUCGGCCCGUUGAACUGCAUCUUCUUCACUUGGUCUCGCUUGGGGAGGGCUUGGUCGCUUGGGUGUUUGAAGUUGGAGAGGAUCGGAUCUGGCUUGUGGGUGGGAGAGGAAGAGAGGCACCCCAUUUAUAGGCCUGUGGGUGGGAGAGGAAGAAAGAAAGGAUGAGAACGGUGUGUGCGUGAAUCCGGACGCGUGUGUAUAUCCGUUACGUUUUGCACACUUAAAUUUUUGCACGAAAACGAUGCAUCUUUGACCGGGCAGUGCAUGUGAACCGCUGCCCUGAACCACUGCCCUGAACCACCUAGCUCGCCUCGCUAGCCUAGCUCGCCUAGCUCGUCUAGCGCGCCUCGCUCGCCUCACUCGCAUGCAUGCAUGUCGCCGCCUCCCGCGCAUGCGCAAACCCACGUAGCCGCCUCCAUGCAUGCAAGGCCUGGAAAGGCUGAGACGGGCUAUUUACUGCGAUCUCAGGCCCAGACAACGAGACGGCCCAACGGUCCAUCCAGCGCGUCCGAUAUUUGUUAAAAAAACAAUUUCCCAGCCAAUCAGAUUGCAUCUCGCGGAUCGCCCCCCUCCUCCCCGCAGAUUUCUUCUAGAAGGGUUAGAUCGACGGCCCUUGAUCACCGCUAGGGUUAGAUGAACAGUCCUUAUUCAGCGCUAGGGUUAGCGGGGUUUGGGAGGGGUUUGGAGCAGUCAAAGCUAUGUUUGACCAGAUUUCAAAUGAGCAUAAUAAAUUAAAUAAAAAUCAGAAAAAUGAAAAACCUGCGCACAUAGUCUUCUUAUGUCAUAUACUAACGAUUUAAGUUGAUAAACAAGCUUUACAUACAUUUAAAUGAUAAGUUCAUGUGUAUUGUAUGAUAUCUCGAGUAUCUCAAACUCUCUUGUAUGAAGUGAAGAGAAGUGUUUUGGGGAAAUGAACAUGAAAAUUUCAAAAAACUCACCACAGCUUCAUUUUGGAGUAACUAAGAAGGAUCCAGGCUUAGUUUUUCAUUUUGAUGUUUUACACUUGUUUAAAUCUUGGUCAAAGUUAAGUUUGACCAGAAUUCAAAUGAGCAAAACAAAUUUUAAAAAAAUCAAAAAAUAGAAAAACCAGCGCACAUAGUCUGUACAUAUAGAAUAUAUGUGUAGGAAAGUUAUUUGGCUGAUUUAGAUAAGGUCGAAAAAAACUUUGCUUAGAAAUGAGGCCGUUUACCCUACCUUUGGACCCCUCUUUUUAGCACAUUUUUCAUGAAAAUUUCAAAAACCUCACCACAACUUCAUUUUGAAUUGACUAAGAAGUAUUCAGGCUUAGUUUUUCAUUUUGAUGUUUUAGACUUGCUUAAAUCUUGGUCAAAGUUAGGUUUGACCAGAAUUUAAAUGAGCAAAACAAAAUUCAAAAAAAUCAAAAAAAGGAAAAACCAUGUGCUCAUUCAAACAUCAUCCAACAGAUAUUUAAACAUCAUGUCAAACAUACUUCUAACAUAGGUCCAACAUCAUCCAACAGAAAUACAACAUGUCAAGUGAUAAAUGUUUCAUAAUACAACAUCAUUCCUUAUUCAUAAUGUUUCAUAAUUGUUCAUAUAUAGCGUUGGGGCUUCUGUCUGUUCCUUGAGCUUCUUGCCAUCACUUUGCUCCUCGUGCACCUUGUGCUCAUUGUUUCUUCUCUUCUUCUCUUGGUUGUCGGUACCUUGCGCGUCUGCUUCAAACCUACCAUAAAGCUGUGCAAAACAUAAAGGGUCCAAACAUAAACGGUAAUGAGAUCGUGUCAAGUGAUAGAUGUACAGUAGUAUUUGACCCUUGCAAGAUUUACAUACCUAGCAGAACUCACAACAACAGAAGGUUGGUCACCAUUUGGAGCCUCACUUGGAUCACCAUGAUCACCAUUUAGAGCCUCAGUUGGAUCACCAUUUGGAGCCUCACUUGGAUCAUCAUUUGGAGCCUCACUUGGAUCACCAUGAUCACCAUUUAGAGCCUCACUUGGAUCACCAUUUGGAGCCUCACUUGAAUCAUUAUUUGGAGGAUAUUUUGGAUCAUCGUCAAAAUCAUGCGGCUGUUGACCAUCAUCAUUUGGAACCUCGUUAAAAUCCUCAUCUGAUGCAAUCGGCUGUUGACCAUCAUUUUCAUCAUCUGUUGAGGCAACCGGCUGUUGACCAACAUUUUCAUCAUCUGUUGAGGCAACCGACUACUGACCAACAUUUUCAUCGAAGCCUUCAUCGAAACUCUCUCCGAACGCUGGAUCUACUGUGUUAUCACAAUACUUACCGAAAUGACCAGACCCACCACAUCUUGUGCACUUACGCUUCCUCGCUCCAAGUCCAGCUCCUUCGCUGCGAGGUCUUAUUCGACUCUUCCUUGAUCUACCUGCUGCUCUCUUCAGAACUGGAGCGCAAAGCUUGAAUCCAGGGUCCACCAUGUCCCAUUGUUGUUUUCCCUCCAUAGCAGGCAAGGCAUAAGCAUAUGUGGCUUUGAACCUUGCAACAGAGUAGUAAUCAUGCACAUACUGCUGUAUGUUCCCUGCUGGACCUGGGAGAGAAGUGAUGAAAAACAAGGCAUGAAUGCAUGGCAACCCAGUUAUCUGUCAUUGCCUACAACUGCAAGUUCUAGCUUCUAAAUCCACUGGAUAUCUCCAUUCCCUCUUCUCUUUAUCCAAAUAUGAUAUCUCUGCUGUGGUACCCGAGCAAAUCGUCAUGUUCAUUUCUAAGCCUAUUGUCUUCUGCUUCAGUUCAUUCAUCACGGCAGGGAUGAUAAUGUGGCCCAUGAAUUUUGCCUCGGCUAUUCCUACACGAUAAUGAAAUUUCUGCAUGUAUUCUAUCCUUAUCCUGUCAAGCAAAUCCACCACAUAAUGACCCUUUAGUUUCCGGAUCGUUGAGUUGAAAGACUCUGCUAGAUUAUUGUGCACAUAGUCAACUUUGCUCACUUCAUUGAAUUGGCUUCUGGCCCAUAACUUGGAGUGGUGUGUUUUCAAGUAUUCUUUCACUUUGGGAUUCAUGUAUAACUGCCUCAAGUGGUAGUUGUGCUUCUUCACACUGCAUGUCAAAGAUGCUGGCCAUAAAUUGUCGGUAUACACCUUUCCUUUGAAUUUCUUCAUGAAAUUUGCAGCAAGGUGACGCAUGCAUUCCCUAUGCUCUACUCCAGGGAACACAUUGUCCACGGCCAUUUCUAAACCUUUGCAGGCAUCUGUAUGAAUGACCAACCCAUUGGGAUGUGCAAUAGCCCGGCGGAGAUUAUGCAAAAACCAAGUCCAGCUCUCCUCAGACUCUGUCUCCAGCACACCAUAGGCAACUGGAAAUACAAAACUAUGUGCAUCAACUGCACAAGCUGCUACUAACUGUCCUUUAAACCUUCCUAUGAGAAAAGUGGCAUCAAUAGCCAAAUAAGGCCUGCAGCCUGCCAAAAAACCCCGGCGACAAGCCUCAAAGCAGACAAAAACCCUUCUAAAGCAUUCCUUGGUCUUUGUCACUCCCCUGAAUGUGUACUCCACGGUGUGGUGAUCAAUAUCUACAAUACUACCUGGGCUUGUCCUCUCCACUUCACCUUUGAAUGAAUACAACAAUUGAAAACUUUCCUGCCAGUUACCAUAAAUAGAAUCCAUAGCAUGUUGUUUACCAUUGAACAACCUCAUGUAUGGUAAAUCUAUCUUGAACUUAUCUUUGAUGUUCUUCUGCAAUUCCUUUGGACCCACUUGCUGGUUUUCUUUCACCCACUUUUUUACUUCUUCUGCCACCCAUCUUGACUUGGCUCUACUGAUUGUAUCCUUCCUAAGGGUUGAUUCCUAGCAUGUGUGUUUAAAAGGAUUCACUUUGACCUGAACAUUAGUGCUAUUCCACAUUUUAGCUGCAAGCAGCCUCCAUGGACAACCCUCAGUCGGACAGUGCACUCUGUAACGUACUUGAUCGCUCUUGUCAACUUUGAAAGUACGUUCUACCUUGAUGCAGUAUGUCACAAGUGCAUUUCUACACUCAUUCAUGGAUGCAAAAACUGUACCUUCUUCCAUUUGAGGGUUCAAAGGGUCCCAUUCAACAGCUGCAAGGUCUUCGUCCUCACCCAUCGCGUCAUCAUCCACACGGACUGCAUUGUGAGCCUCAUCUUGGUUUUCAGCCCGAGGUGCCCGUCGUAAAUUCUGAAUAACAUCAGAAUAUAACUUCUCUUCAUCAACCCCAGAAUUGUAGCCAUCAGGCUCCACUUCAAGGGGGGCUCUACUGCUGUUGCCCACACUUGUCGAGCCACCACGUCGCCGUGCACCAACUGAACUGUGCUGGCUAGAGAUGCCAUUACGACGACUUGAUUCUCCCCGAGAUGUUGCACCCGCCAUCCUAGGUCCAAAUGCCUGCUCAAGCACAUCAACUUGCAGCCUCACAUGAAAAUUAUCUUUCUCUUUAUGCCUAACAAACAUGGUAGCUAGCUCUUCAUCAUUACUAAUUGUCACCCAAUUCUUUUCCCCAUCAUAGUAUUUGUAUACCACUUCAUCAAGCAAACCCCAAGGAUAUUGGCUACAAAUUACCUCCCCAAAUUGUCUGAAACUCCAAUUACUAGCCAUUGGCAACCGAUAAUCAAAACCUCCUUGGUAUUUCUUCUUAUCCUUUGCAUCGAACAUGUACCGGUCCCUUCUAAUGUGCACCAUGAAAGCAAACCGCAACUCCAUCCUAACCGGCGAAAAACAGAGACGCAAUCAGCACACUAAUUGGGCAAACCUACUCGAAUCGAGUGUUCAAAUGCACAACUAAGCUCAAUCUAAACAAGAGGCGAGACUUACCCCUCGGAAACCCAGUCGUGGACGCGGCGGAUCUCCGGCCCGAUGCCUGCCUCGCCAAAUACUCCGGGGUCGCCGCUGCUCACCAUUUCGCCCUAUGGUUCUUCCUCCUAGUUCAAAUAGCUCCAGCAGCCCCCCACCUUUGAGCGCUCCGGCCGGGCACACGGAAGGAGGCCGCGCCGCGAAUCGAGCAGGUGGCGGGCGCCCCACCCGUGGCGUCGCAGGAAGGUGGUGGGCGUCACAAUGAGCCGUGGAGCGUAGGCGCAGGGAGGUAGCGGCGGAGCAGGCCGUGCAACUGGUGGCGGGGCAGGUGCUGGCCGCGGCGCAGGUGGCGGCGGCGGCGGCGCAGGACAGCCGGCCGGGCGGAUGGGUGUGAGCUAGAAUGAUUUGGGGAUUUAGUUGCAGGGGCCUACAUGUCAGCUCCGGACCCACGUCCACGCGGUCCCACGUGUAAGCUCCGGACCCACAACUACUAACGCCGGCGGACGGAAUGGACUCAAAUAUGGCCGUUUGGCCUCGUCGUAGUUGUUGUGCUCGGACUAGGGGCAAAACCGAGGACAAUUUGCAUCUGAGGGCAAAACUGAGCACAUGGACACCACUGAGGGCAAAAGGAUAAUUAACCCUUGUUUUAAAUUACAAUUUUGCUAGAACUCAUCUAGAUGAGAUAUAAUUUGAUCUCAUUCACUUUUUAUAGUCAUUGGAUGUGAUGCUAUAAGAUGCGUGUAUACUGACGUGGAUUGUAUUUGUUCUUAUUUUUAAAGUGAAUGAGACCAAAUUAUUUCUCAUCUAGAUGAGUUCUAGGUACUUCCUUUAAAUUACAGUACACAUAUAUGGCGUAAUAAAGGCCAACUAAAGAGGGUCGACAAUUCGAGGUGGACAUAUCUCAUGGGGCCAGCGUGCCGUCUUAAUUAACGUAAAAAUCCUCCGCAUGGAAUUGAUUGUUAAUUAUGCACAUGAAACUCAGAUCAGACAUUCCUCGGUUGAGCUAGAGCCAGAGCCGGGCUGCAACUGCAAGCUACUCCUUCCUAGGCUACUAGGGUGGUGGUGGACUGGUGGCUGGCUAGGUGGUUCACGCAUGCACUAGAGAAUUGGAGCUCAGAUGGUCCAUAUGGCGCAAAUGAUAAUAAUUUGAUAGCGGCAGCUUGACACGCCUGCGCGGGUGAGUAAUUGAACCAGCGAAGGCAACGGUACGUCUCACCCACCGUGAAGAAGGCCGCUCCCUCCGACUCCGAGCGGCUGGGUUCCUUCCUGGUCAUCGCCAAAAUAUGGCCUGGACGGGUGGGCCCGUAAGAUCGACGCGACAAAAACCCAGCACAGUAUCCUGUCAAUAUUGGUUUUCUUGGUCACAGUCAGUGUGUGUUGUCAUGCGCAAAAGUGGCCGGUGGGCUCUCUCUUCACAACCUUCGUCGCCAUGCCAGCCAUCCUGGUUCAGAGAUCACCGUCGCUAAACGUGCUUGUGCGCGCGUUAAUCUGUUACGUCUAUCUCUCGUUGAAGAUGUUGAGUUAUAUUCCAAAUUCAUAUAAAGGCUAAAUUCUGGCGAGGCAGAGAGGAGGCCCAUCUUCGAGAUGCUCCCCGCGUUCACUAUCUCGCCGGUGGAAUGCACUGUCACGGCAGGAGGUCUCUCACGGCACACUCAGCAAUGUCGACGCGUCGCGGCCAGAGUCCUCAUCUGGAUUCCAAUCGCUGCCGUUGAGGUUGUUGAGUUGUGAUCCAAAUUUAUAUAAAGGCUACUUCUGGCAUAGCAGUGCGGAGGCUCGUCGCCGGGAGGCUUGGNNNNNNNNNNNNNNNNNNNNNNNNNNNNNNNNNNNNNNNNNNNNNNNNNNNNNNNNNNNNNNNNNNNNNNNNNNNNNNNNNNNNNNNNNNNNNNNNNNNNNNNNNNNNNNNNNNNNNNNNNNNNNNNNNNNNNNNNNNNNNNNNNNNNNNNNNNNNNNNNNNNNNNNNNNNNNNNNNNNNNNNNNNNNNNNGACCUAGGUCGGCACAUUACACACCUCUUGGAAGCCGUCACACAAGAUAAUCAUCGUUGUAAAUCCCGGGCGUUUGUAACCUCUCCCGAAGUUUCACCGGCCGAUGCCCGUGGUUUUUUACCCUUCUCUUCGGAGGGUUUUUCCCACGUUAAAAUUUUGUGUCCUCUGUGUUUAUUUGAUCGUCUUCAUUUCUAUUGUCUGUCAUAUCUCUAACAAAAGAUUAUUGUACAUACAUACACAAAUGUACAUGAUGACGGUUGCAUUUUGUAAAUGAGGAUCGACGAGCCAGGAAAUAUGUCACGUGUAGAUAAGACUUCGUGAAAGAUUUUGGUGUAAGUCGAGGGUUUAGUUCGUGGCACCGUGGAAAAACAACGCGUGCCUUUUGUUCUUGAGUACCGAGGCCAUAAUAUUGGGCAUCAAAUCAUAAAUACAGUGAAACGUAUAAUACCGAAUGGGAAACUAAGUGGGGAGUAACCAGAAUAUAGUUGUGUUUGGUGUUGUGGUGUAAUUUUAGGAUGGUCCUAUAUUAUGAAUCCAUUUUGUGUCAUCCGAUGACUGUUAAAAUGGACUUUUCUCAUUAUACAAAUAACUAAAUAAGGAAAUAAUUACGUUGUAUUAAUAAAGCAUGGUGCUAGACUUUGAAAUAUAUCAUACCUGCUGAUCAAAUUUCCAUGUGUUUUUACUACAUGACACAUGCUUGCGGUUUUUAUAGCUAGUCAACAUGGGUACUAAAUAGAUGUGUCAUUUUCUUAUACAAGGCCACAACUCAUAUUACAAAUAUUAAGGUAAAAUUUAAUUACUGUUUUACAAGCUAACUUUUCUUUUCGUUAACCAGUAUCAUUAAUACGACACAUGCAUGCAAGGAAGGAAUGAGAAGGAAGUAGCUAAAUUUCAUUAUGACUACAUGCAUACAACUGUUAAACAAAUUGCUAGUACGAUGAAACACCAUUAAUUUUUGCCUCCAUUAUUGUUGGUGGCCUUGUAUAAGGGAAUGGAGGGAGUAGUAUGAAUUAAACAGUACAUACCAAAGCAAAACAACGAAGCUAUGCGUGAAUAUUUGGAAUCCAGAAGGAAAAAAUUAUCUAAUACUAAGGCAUGCCUAUAUAUAUAGAAGCCAUGCGUAAAUAUUUGGAAGCCAAAGCAAAAUAAAAAAAUCCAUUAUGAAUUUCUUUUAAACAUAUUGAAAAUGGGGGUAAAAAUAUUCUAUAGACAUUCCUUUUUUGAUAAGUAGCUGCUAUAGCUAGAACAUUAUAGGUGAGCAAAUGUACCAUUGAUGAUGGACGGCUCAGAGCUAAGCGGGACAAAUUCUAACUAAACAGACAAGCAAAAAAAUGUAUUUAUACAUCGUUUUGGUACCUUGGUCCGAAAAUGAUGUGUAGUGAUUUUAAUUUGAUGAAGUGAUUUUUCUUUUUAAAACGGAGGCAAAAUUUUUGCCUCAUCUCAUUAAAAAGAAGGGGAAUAAAAAAGUUUGCAGAGGGCCAUUACACCUCACACAAAUGGAAAGAAAACACAAGCCUACUCUCGCGGCAUCAAAGAACCCAAAUGCUUCGCCCCUACGACAAUCCAGAGCCCCGACUCUGCUUUAAUAGCCUCAACCAACUCGUUUGGCAACCUACAUACAUGCUGGAACACCCUCGCGUUUCUCUCUUUCCUCAUCUUCCAAGCAACAAGCAUGAUGAGUGAUGAAAUCGCCUUCCUUCUGUGCCCAUGCCUAAGGACCACCGCCGUCCACCACUCUCUGACCAUGGGGAUUCUGUUCCAGGCCGCAACGUCCAGUUCAGGGGCAUCCACUCAAACUCCGAUCGCAUUCCAAAUGUGGGCAGAGAACCUGCAUUGGAAGAGAAGAUGAGCUGCGGUCUCUGGCUCCCUCUUGCAAAGUUGACACAAGUUGCAGUUGGGCCACCCUCUUCUUUGCAGUCUGUCUGCCAUCCAGAUUAUAUCCUUGAUAACUAGCCACGCAAAGAACUUGCACUUGGGCGGUGCCCAUGUCACGCCCAAUAUGCGAUACUAUCCUAAAGAGACUCGAAGGUCCCACCAAGGAUAGAACCACAUAUUAAGACGCUUUUGCAAGGUGGAUAUCAUUACAUCAACAUUACAUAAUAGAUGGGGAUACAUACAAAGCAUAUAAAUGCCACAAGAGUACAUCAAUACCACAUACAUAAGAUCAACAUCCGACUACAGAUGAAACACAAACAGAAGCUCAAACAAUAUCCACCCUGCUAUCCCAGGUUGCCGACCUGGAACCUAUCCCCUGAUCGAAGAAGAAGCAGAAAAAGAACUCCAAAACAAGUAACAUCGCUCUCGCGUCAAGAUCAUCGCAAAACCUGUACCUGCAACUGUUGUUGUAGUAAUCUAUGAGCCACGAGGACUCAGCGAUCUCAUUACCAUGGGUAUCAAGACUAGCAAAUCUUAAUGAGAAAGGAAGGGGUAAAGUGGUGAGGUUGCAGCAGCGACUAAGCAUAUAUGGUGGCUAACAUACGCAAAUAAGAGCAAGAAGAGAGCAAACGGAACGGUCGUGAAGCUAGCAAUGAUCAAGAGGUGAUCCUGAACUCCUACUUACGUCAAACAUAACCCAAAACCGUCUUCACUUCCUGGACUCCACCGAAAAGAGACCAUCAUGGCUACACACACGGUUGAUGCGUUUUAAUUUAGAUCUGGUGUCUAGUUAUCUACAACCGGACAUUAACAAAUUCCCAUCUGCCACAUAACCGCGGGCACGACUCUCGAAAGUUUAUAACCUGCAGGGGUGUCCCAACUUAGCCCAUUAUAAGCUCUCACGGUCAAUGAAGGAUAUUCCUUCUCCCAGGAAGACCCGAUCAGCCUCGGAAUCCCGGUUUACAAGACAUUUCGGCAAUGGUAAAACAAGUCCAGCAAGACCGCCCAAUGCGCCGACAUCCCGAUAGGAGCUGCACAUAUCUUGUUCUCAGGGCAACACCGGAUGAACACUACAUACAACUAAAACCAGACCUCGGGUUUCCCCGAGGUGGCACUGCAAGUGGCUCUGGUUCGGACCAGCACUUAGAGAAGCACUGGCUAAAUAAAGAUGACCCUCGGGUUGGCCAACCAAAGGGAAAGUUAUAGGUGGUGGUGAGGCAAAUGGUAAAACCAAUGUUGGGCCUUGUUGGAGGAGUUUUAUUCAAAGAGAAAUGUCAAAGGGGUCCCAUAAAUCACCCAACCGCGUAAGGAACGCAAAAUCCGGGAACAUAACACCGGUAUGACGGAAACUAGGGUGGCAAGAGUGGAACAAAACACCAGGCAUAAGGCCGAGUCUUCCACCCUUUACCAAGUAUAUAGAUGCAUUAAUUAAAUAAGAGAUAUUGUGAUGUCCCAAUAUAAUCCUGUACAUCAUGGAGCAAUCUUCAACUUCACCUGCAACUAACAACGCUAUAAGAGGGCUGAGCAAAAGCGGUAACAUAGCCAAACAACGGUUUGCUAGGAAGGGUGAAAAAGGUUAGAGGCUGACAUGGCAAAUUGGGAGGCUUGAAGAACAAGUGAUAGGUAGCGCAUCAUAGCGAUAGAACGAAGCAACUAGCAUAGCAAUGAUAGUAGUGAGAUCCAAGGUGACGGUCAUCUUGCCUAAAAUCUCGCAAGGAAGAAGAACGAAUCCAUGAAGAAUAUGAAGCCACGAAGACGAACCAAGCGUAGACGAACGAAUCCUCACGAUCGCAACGAAAACGGGAACUAUCGAGAAGAAGCACACAACAUGGUAAACACACCACACAUAGACAAGACAUGAUGCACAACAAGCAUGAUGCAUGACAAAGCUACAUGAAGCUACUCAUGGCAAGAGAUGAUGCAUACAAGAGCAACACAUCAAAGCAAGUUUAAAUGAGGCCGGAAACAACAUAUAGCAAUUCCGGUAAGUCCUUAUAUGAAAAUUUCAAAAUUGGUCCAUAUCUGAAUAAACCUUAUGUUCAAGUUGUUAAACAGCAAGUUAAGUUGCACCAAGAUGAUCUACACGAGAUUAUAGUCAAGUUAUAUAUAGAGUUCGUUUAAUUCGGAGCUACGGCCUAGAAGAUAUGAGUAAAAGAAGUUAAACAUGGCAUUGAUGCAAAAUGCAUACAAACAUCAAGCAAACACCUCAAAACAAGGAUGCAACAUGAUAAUAUGAAGCUACAUGCAAAAUCAAGCAAGUUUCAUAUAAAGCACACUCAAAACGGAGCAACGGUUCAACACACACACAUGAAACAAGUUUAAAAGACAAGCUGUCCAAAACAGCAACUAGGCAUCUAGAAAGCAUCAAAAAAAUAUGCUACAACAUCUCAACAUGGAAACAAAAGACAUGGACAUGAUGUACAUGUAAAGCAUGACAAAACAUGAACACUGAGCUAUCUCCAGAAAACACUAGAACAUGCUCAAAAAGACAUGGCAAGAUUGCAAAUAAUAACAGUUUCAGGCUUAACAGAAAUAAUAUCAGGUUGCAAUGUUUAGAGCUAUCAAACAACAUGUUACAGGAACUUAACAAGGCAAACAAAGGCAUGGCAUGCUAUUACUAAAGACAAAGAACAAAUCUCCCUUACUGAACUAAAUCCAAAGAUCAACAGAAAAUAUGGUGGCAUCCAUGCAAACAUGGCAAAUGAUAUGACAUAUUCAGACAUGGCAGGAACAACAAUAAGUAGGCAUGUUGGUGAGCUUGUACCACUGACCACAGAGCAAUACAUGGGAUGACAAGGUAACCAACAGUAAUAAGACAUGUUUAUUAAGCUAAGCAUGACAAGAUAAAGUUCAUAGGGUGCAUGGAUCACUAGUAAAGCUCAUGGCAAAACUGAACUUAAUGUUGACAGGCUGACAACAAUAUUAUUUAGCAACUUUGGAGCAUGAUAACAACAAUCUACAGCAAGCCAUAAUUACAACCAAGGGCAUGGAUAGAUAUAGCAUAACAUGUAUAACAAAACAUCCUUAGUGAACAUCUCCAGAUUAUGCAUAGAAUGACUUGUAGCAGCAGGUUUACAUAGCAUCAUGAUAUAACAGAAUCAGCCUACCAAAAUAGUAACAACAAGUACCCUACUUCACGAGCUCGAUGCACUCACUAAAAGCCACACAAAAAUACAUGGCAAGCACCUCUGUAAAGAUGGAAUGACAUAUCUCAAAACACAUGUAGACAUCAAGCUCACAAGAUGCACACAUCAAAUGCAACAAAAAUGACAAAACAUCAAGUUCUGUUACCAGACAACAGUUAACAUCAUAUAGCACUCUUGCAACGAUGAUUAGGGCAUCAAUAUGGACUCAAACAAGCAUGGAACAAUGGAAUGAAAUGAAUAGCAUCUCAUGAUGAACAUUUUGAUAUAUUAUAUGCAUGAAACGGAGGAGCACACAUGAAGUUAUGGUCUGAUGAACAGAGCAACAUAAUGCAAUAAACUUAGGGACUUCGAAAAAUAUACCCCUCCAAAAACAGAUCUAGGGUUCCAGCGGCACGGACUUCGAGGUUGGCUGGAGUUGUGGGAGAUGACCGGAGGAAGGUCCGGCGAGGCGGGGAGAUGGCCGGGGAGGCGCGGGGAGGCGGCCAGCUAAGUCGAGGCGGCCGGAUCCGGUCCGGCCAGACCGGAUCUGCGACGCGCGGGGCGGCGAGCUNNNNNNNNNNNNNNNNNNNNNNNNNNNNNNNNNNNNNNNNNNNNNNNNNNNNNNNNNNNNNNNNNNNNNNNNNNNNNNNNNNNNNNNNNNNNNNNNNNNNNNNNNNNNNNNNNNNNNNNNNNNNNNNNNNNNNNNNNNNNNNNNNNNNNNNNNNNNNNNNNNNNNNNNNNNNNNNNNNNNNNNNNNNNNNNNNNNNNNNNNNNNNNNNNNNNNNNNNNNNNNNNNNNNNNNNNNNNNNNNNNNNNNNNNNNNNNNNNNNNNNNNNNNNNNNNNNNNNNNNNNNNNNNNNNNNNNNNNNNNNNNNNNNNNNNNNNNNNNNNNNNNNNNNNNNNNNNNNNNNNNNNNNNNNNNNNNNNNNNNNNNNNNNNNNNNNNNNNNNNNNNNNNNNNNNNNNNNNNNNNNNNNNNNNNNNNNNNNNNNNNNGUGGCGUGCCGCGAUUGGGCGCGGGCGGCGGCACGGCUGAGGUGGCGUCCCCGAUUGGUUGGGCGACGUGGCUGGGCGGCGGUGGACGCGUCCGGCUGCGGGCGGACAUGUCCGGCGGCGCGAGGAGGGAGAGGGCUAGGGUUCAUCUGCGCGAAAAUUUCGGGGAGGGGCACAUAUUUAUAGGUAGAGGGAGCUAGGAGGGUCCAAAUAGAGAGCGAUUUUCGCCCACACGAUCCUGAUCGAACGACUGAGAGUAUGGAGGGGGUUUGGAUGGGUUAUUGGGCCACUUUGGAGGGGUGUUGGACUGCAACAUACAGAGGCUUUUGUGGCUACCCGGUUAACCGUUGGGGCAUCAAACGGACUCCAAAUGGCACGAAACUUGACACGCGGUCUACCGGUGGUGUACCAAGGCCACUUGGCAAAUCAUGGUCCAUUCCGAGAAUGUUUAACACCCGCUCACAAAAAGAGACAAGAAAGGGACGUCGGAUGACAUAGGAGUGCCGGAUUGCAAAACGGACAACGGGGAAAAAGCUCGGAUGCAUGACACGAACACAUAUGCAAAAUGAGAUGCACAUGAUGACAUGAUAACAUGAAACACGCAAGAAAAUGACAUGGCAAUGACAGCGAAUAACUGGCAAACACCUGGCGCAUUGAAUUCGGGGCGUUACAGCCCAGUUCUUCCACACACCACUGUGGUCAUGUUGGAGGCGACCGCACCCGCGAAUUGGGCCCUAUAGGCCGAGGUCGAGGCCGAGGAAUAAAUUCCAUCGGUGGUGAGGUUCCACUUGAUAUCAUCGGGUAGCUCGUCCUGUAGGUGUAUCGUAGUGGCUUCCCCCAAAGGGCGCAGAACUACUCAAUGUGCUCCACUGAGAGGCCUCCGGACAUGUUGAUCCAUUGGAUCCAAUUAUUUUCAAGCAAGGCCUCCCGCACAGACUGGUUCUUGUUGGCAAAGAUCUCUAAAAUGGCCGAUGCAAUGUCCUUGGGCUUCACUCCAUCUAGCUAGGGGGGAAGCCAGAAGUGUGCCCUCCUACCGGUCCCGACAGUGAUUGUCGUGGCAGCAUAGAAUAGAUCUCUGUCAGUGGUGUCACAUGGGUUUCUGAUGCCCACCCAUGCCCUGUGCAUCUCCUUCCACUCAUACCAAAGCCAUUGCAGCCUCAGAGCCUGGGCAUACAUAUGAAUCAAGGAUACCCAGCCCACCAAGCCUCUUUGGUCUACACACUAGCUUCCAGCUGACUUUGCACUAACCAUCGGAGACCUUAUCUGAACCAGACUAGAGGACAAUGCCCACGAAGUCGGAGAUAGUACCCUCCAGAAGUUUGAGCAUCCUGGCAUGGAAGGUGGCAAGGGAGGAAGGCACAGACUUGACGAGCUCAGCCCUCCCCACAGUGCUGAUGAGCCGACCCUGCCAAGGCACUGGCUUCCCAGUGGCCUUGUCCACGAGGUGUUGGAGAUCGACCUUCCGUAAAUGAUGGGCCGAAAGAAUAGUCCAAGAUAUCUCAGUGGGAACACAGAGCGAGUAGGCCGGGAAGCACUCGAGGAUGUCGUCUAGAUUGAGACUGUCGAAGCGAAUAGGGCCACCAUUGAUUUCCAUGUAUUUCAGUGGUAGUUUGGUAAACAUUGGGACUAAAUUUUAUGCACCUCUAAUUUUGUAUAACGUUUUACACAACAUAUUUAAAUGAUCGCAAGCUAAUCCUACGAUGGGCGUAUAGUGGGAUACUUAGAUCCUGUAAUCAGACCCGAGUUCUUCACCUAAUUUGAUACUAUGUAAGUAUAAUUGCUAGCACUUCUGCCUAAAAAAUAAAUCAGUAAUGUUAUCUGGCGAACUCAGCUCGGAUGGUGAUGGCAAGCGAAUGUUCUUUUUGCUGACAGUUUUAGUUGCUUCACGAGAUCAAAUGUUGACAAUUUUAGACAAAAAAAUGCAUUCUUCUAAUAUUUUCCUAAGGAAGUUGUCAUCCCCUCACAACAAAAACCGUGAGCAAAAUCUUUCGAAAUGUCAUCCCCUCCCAGCGAAUGUUCGCUAGCUAAGAUGAUCGAAAUAAAUAAUGCUAGUACUUAGUUAUCACUUCUCUUAUAGCAUCUGUGAAAACUAAUAUGUGCAUGGUUUGUGUCGUGUGUCUGACUAAAAGCAAAGAUACAGAUGGUGUCAAGCUUUUUCAUGGAUAGAGUUAUAAGAAACAUGGCAAUAUAUAAUAUAUUAAUAAAAGUUGAAAGCACAAGUGCUCCCUGGAUGAUUUUGGUAAUUAAUGUCAACAUAUCUCUUUUUGGACUAAUACUUUUACCUAGUAAGUUUCAGAUAAGUUCAACAAUGGAGUGGCAUGGACUAGAGGAUGUGGAACCCCUUCAAGAUGCUAAGGACAAAGGAUUGGCUCAAGCUCAAAUCACAAGACUCUACAUUUUACUUUUUAGUGAUCCAAGAUCACAUUGAGUCCAUAGGAAAGCCAAUACUAUUCAGAGGGGAUGAGGUGUUGCUUAAUGGCUUGCUUGCUCAAAGUGCUUAGUGAUAUGCUCCAAAGCCCUCAACCACUUUCUCACAUCCACAUAUGUCCUAAACCAAAAGUCAAACUCGGCCCCACCGAAACUUUCUAUCCGGUGCCACCGAGUUCAGUUGACAUAGCCACUGCCAUAAACCCUAGUCUUUUCGGUCUCACCGAUAGGGAUCUCGGCCAAACCGAGAUGGGAUUGUAAUCUCUCUGUUUCCCUUUGUAACAUUUCGGUCAAACCGAGAUAAGCGAUUGGUCCCACCGAGAUUGCAAUGGAAACUCUCUGUUUCCCUUUCGUAAUGUUUCGGUCCAAUCGAGAUGAGCGAAUCGGUCCCACCGAGUUUGCCUGACCAACUCUCUGUUUGUCUAUUACCAAAAUCGGUCUCACCGAGUUUGUGUAAUCGGUCUCACCGAGAUUACGUUAUGCCCUAACCCUAAUGAUAUCGGUCCCACCGAGUUGACGUGUCGGUCCCACCGAAAUUCCUAACGGUCACAUUAUGAACUAAAUCGGUCUGACCGAGUUUCACGAUUCGGUCCCACCGAGUUUAGUAAGUUGUGUGUAACGGUUAGAUUUUGUGUGGAGGCUAUAUAUACCCCUCCACCCACUCUUUAUUCAUGGAGAGAGCCAUCAGAACAUGCCUAUACUUCCAAUAUACAUUUUCUCAGAGAGAACCACCUACACUUGUGUUGAGGUCAAGAUAUUCCAUUCCUACCACAUGAGUCUUGAUCUCUAGCCUUCCCCAAGUUGCUUUCCACUCAAAUCUUCUUUCCACCAAAUCCAAAUCCUGUAAGAAAGAGUUGAGUGUUGGGGAGACUAUCAUUUGAAACACAAGAGCAAGGAGUUCAUCAACUACACACCAUCUAUUACCUCUUGGAGAGUGGUGUCUCCUAGAUUGGCUAGUGUCACUUGGGAGCCUCCGUCAAGAUUGUGGAGUUGAACCAAGGAGUUUGUAAGGGCGAGGAGAUCGCCUACUUCAUGAAGAUCUACCCUAGUGAGGCAAGUCCUUCGUGGGUGACGGCCAUGGUGGGAUAGACAAGGUUGUUUCUUCAUGGACCCUUCGUGGAUGGAGCCCUCCGUGGACUCGCGCAACCGUUACCCUUCGUGGGUUGAAGUCUCCAUCAACUUGGAUGUACGAUAGCACCACCUAUUGGAACCACGGAUAAAAAAUCUACGUGUCUCCAAAUUGCGUUUCCACACUCCAAUUCCAUCCCUUUACAUUCUUGCAAUUUGCAUGCUUUACUUUUCGCUGCUCAUAUACUCUUUGCAUGCUUGCUUGAUAUGUAUUGUGAAGGUUAAAAUUUGUGCAAAACUCCACUUCAACUUAAAUAAAUUAAAAACUGCAACUUUUCUUACUUAGAGUCUAUUCACCCCCCCUCUAGACACCUCUUCUCGAUCCUUUCAAUUGGUAUCCGAGCUUUGGUCUCCAUUGCUUUGGUUUAAACACCAUUGGAGGAAGAUGGAUGAGUCUACUUUGGAGAGUCUUAGACAUAGAGUGCAUAUACUUGAUGGAGAGUAUUUUCCUGAUUGGAAAAAUGAGAUGCUUGUGAUUUCAAUGAAUAUCAUUUGAACAAGUACAUUACUAGCCCUUGUGCACCUCAUGUUGAUCGUAUGCAUCCUACCCUUGAUGAGUCAAUUGAUAUGAUUCACAAUCUUAGAACUAUUAAUCUUAUCACUAGAGGCUUGCCUAGAAACUUGAUUGGAUGUUUGCCUACUCUUGAUUGCGCCUACACCAUAUGGAAAUUUCUUGAGGAACGUUUUCCAAACUAUUCCUUGCAAAACUUAGAUGAAAUUCUUCACAAGUCUAUUGCCUUGAGUAAGAUGAAUUGCAAUGAUCCUAAGUUUUGUGAUUGUCUUUUUGAGUUUACAAAUCUUAUGUGUGCCAAAGGAGAUGUUGGAAUCAUUAGCAAUAUUAUUUCUGAAGCUAUUAGAAUUCAUAAAGAUGACCAUUGUGAUGAUCAUUUAUCUAAUGAAUUACCCUCUCUAGGAAUUGAUCCAUCACAUGACAAUGUUGAACAUGGAUACUAUGAUAAGGAUGAUGAUAGUGACUUUGAUCUUGAUGAUGCAAUGAGACACUUUGGUCUAAUGGCAAAUCUUGGGGGAUACAUGGCAGGAGGAAAAGAAUGGGUUCUUGAUAGUGGAUGUACCGAUCACAUGACCGGGGAUAAGGAUAUGUUUCGUGAGCUUGCUGAAAAUGACAGCCCUCGAAAGUAUGUCACUUUUGGUGACAACUCAAAGGGUAAGGUGGUUGGCCUCGGUAAGGUGGCCAUCUCACAUGAUAGCUCCAUACAAAAUGUCAUGCUCGUUGAAUCUCUUGGGUACAAUUUACUUUCAGUAUCUAGACUUGCUGAUUUUGGUUUCAAUGUCCUAUUUACUGAAGUAGAUUGCCAAGUGUUUCGUAGAGACAAUCAUAAAAUGGUAUUUACUGGUAUACGCAGAGGUGAUCUUUACAUUGUUGAUUUCAAUAAAAAGGCUCAACCUAGAACUUGCUUAAUUGCUAAACCCUCUAAAGGCUGGUUGUGGCAUAGACGGUUAGGUCAUGUGGGCAUGCGAAACCUUGACAAGCUUAUUAAAGGUAAUCAUAUCCUUGGCGUUAAUGAUGCAUAUUUGAUAAGGAUAGACUUUGUAGUGCUUGUCAAGCAGGUAAACAGGUUGGAGGAAGGCAUCCCAUGAAGAACAUCAUGACCACAAGGAGGCCGCUCGAGCUACUUCACAUGGAUCUUUUUGGUCCCAAUGCUUACAAAAGUCUCGGUGGAAAUUCUUUUGGUCUAGUUAUAGUUGAUGAUUUUUCAAGAUUUACGUGGGUGUUCUUUCCCGAUGAUAAAUCCCAUGUCCAAAAGAUCUUCAAAAACUUUGCUAGGAAGGCCCAAAAUCAAUUUGAAGUGAAGAUCAAGAAGGUCCGCAGUGACAACGGAACGGAGUUCAAGAACGCAAAUAUGGACACCUUUCUUGACGAAGAAUGGAUUUCGCAUGAGUUCUCGGCUACGUACACACCUCAACAAAAUGGAGUUGUUGAGAGGAAGAACCGGACGCUCAUCGAAAUGGCGAGAACGAUGCUUGAUGAGUACAAGACGCCAAAGCACUUUUGGGCGGAAGCGGUUGAGACACCUUGUCAUGCAACAAAUCGCUUGUAUCUUCACAAGCUACUCGGCAAGAUGCCAUAUGAGCUCCUCACCGGUAACAAACCCCAAGUUGGAUACUUUCAAGUAUUCGGCUCAAAGUGCUACAUUCUUGACAAGCAUCGUUGAUGCGGAGCAUCCUUCGUCAUCCCCAUGGACCUUCCGUCGCCUCACCAAGCACCAAGAGGACCCAUGACACGAGCACGAGCUAAGGCUAUUAAAGAUAAGGUGAACUCGCUCCUCUCCGAACUUUCUCUUCCUACUCACGAUACAUGGCUACUACCUCAUUCGGAAACUCUGUGUGUGAUCAGGUGCUUGGAAGCGAGCCAUGGAAAAGCUACAUACAAGAGCCAAGACGGCGAGGACCCCAAGCAUGAGGGACAAGAAGAAGAGCUGCCAUGGAAGCUACAGGUGUCAGACGACCGACCCAGUCCGGACGUCCGACGAGUGCCAGGACACGGACGACCGAGCUUUCCGAACGUCCGGUACUUCGCCACCCGAACCAAAUCUACGGACGUCCGAAGCGGACCGGACGACAAGCAACCGAGCCGAAUCUACGGAAGACCGACGACCUCCGGACGUCCAGACCGUCACGAAGCUCCGAACGACCAACCCCCUCCGGACAUCCGACGCGCCCACGACAGAGCUGAUUCUACGGACGCCCGAGCCCGACCGGAUGUCCGGACCGUCCCGAGCCUCCGGAACUCCGACGCCUUCCGGACGACCGGCACCUGAGUGACCGCACCUGCGGGCUGGAGCCCUUGUACCCCUUCGCUUUGACUUCCAUUUGCACUACGACUAUAAAUAGGUCACCCCCACCUCCUAGUUAGGGUUAGCAUUGGUUUAGCUCAUAUUUGUGUGAGAGCCUUGCUCAUCCACUUGGAUACUUCUCCUCGGAGUUCACGCCUCUUCGGAGAAGAUCCCCCAAGCGGAUUCAAGACCCCUUUCUAGGGAAGACCAUCAAGACCUCCAUACGGAGAAGAAUGGUUCCUUUGUAUCCUUACCUUUGUUGACUUUGGAUCUCGUGUAUCUCUUUGCGUUCGGUGAUCUAGCACUCGUGUGAUUGAUCUCUUAUCGGUUGAGUGUUUCUCUCGUUUUCCCCCGUGAUUCUCUUCGUUCUCUUCUGCUCGUUCUUCGUGUCUCCCCGUAGGAUCCACUCCAAACGUGAAAGAUCGGCACCUAGGGUACCGCCCUACAUCAUCUUGGUAUCAUGAGCCACGUUGAUCACGUUUUUGGAGCCACUACCCCGUGUUUUCUAGCUUGAUUUUGUUGUUUUCGUCCUAAUUCCGAAAAUUCCCCACCAAAAAUAGCCCCAAAUUUUUUUGUGAUUUGUUCGUGAGUUGAGAUUUUGUUGGAUUUGGUCCAUGGAUUUGUGUUGCUGCGUGUGGAUCUAGCUUUCCCCACCCUCCCCACCCUUUUCCAUCCACCAAAUCACUCGAUUUCGACCUCACCAUCUCCUUCUUCCCCGAAAUCUCGCAGUUCAUCACAAGCCCGAUUUUCGCCCAGGCUCCGGACGACGGGAAAAGGUCGGACGUCCGACAACGACCGGACGACCGUAAAAGACUGGACGUCCGUGAAACCCUGACGACUCUGAAGUUUGACAGUUCGGCCACCACCACAACCCCACAUUCCACCACAUCUUCCAAACCCACAUACACCACCAUCUUCCCCGAUACCUCCUAUGACGAUUUUGACAUAUUUUGGUCCUUGAGAUUUUUUGAGUUGUGGCUCCCGUAUCCUUUUGUGUUUCGGCUAUCUAGGUACGCUUCGGCUUCAUCACCACCACGGCUCAUCUUCGCAAGGGUCUCAUCAUCGCCAAGGACGGUAACUUCGACAACAUCUUUGUCAUACCUUGCAAUUGCAUUGAUAGCCCACAUGUCCCUACCUUUGCGUAGCUUACCCAUCGAGACUAGCCAUUGAGUAUUGCCGACAAUGUGACUUGUGCACAUUAGUGAUCAUACUCCAUAGCAUACCAUACCAUAGUGGUGCAUAUCUUGGGAUCUUCUUGUGUGUCACAAAGUUGUCAUAGCAUACACAAUUGCUAUCUUGGUUCGUGAAGUUUUGCAUGAGAAAAGAGCUCAAAAGUGAAAGAGCCACCCAAGCUUUUAAGCAAAGAGGAAAGCAAAGAGCUUAUGAACAAGAACAUAGCAUCAUACUACAUUAAGAUUGUCAUAUUGGAUCAUCUUGGAUCAUUGCACCGAAGUACCAUACAUAUAGCAUACGUGGGAUAGAUAUAGUUGCAUUUUGCCUAGUAGGUUGUGCACAAGUUCCGUAUCCGCCUAUUGUGCAAUCGUGCUAGCGUCUCUCUAGUAUUGUGCAACAAGAGCAUUUUCGUGGUCUCCACAUUUUGGCUCACUUUUGGUUUGCACAAUCCCACUUAUCUAUUUGCGUGUGUGUUUCCGUGUACCAUUACUUGCUUGGUCUACUUGUUGCAUUUGGAAAUUUGUGAACCUUUUCCAACAUUAUUGAAGCUCACUUACUAUUGCAUCAAAUUUUGUGCCACCAUCCUAACCAAGCUCCACCAUAAGCUUUUACGUGUGUAGGUGUGAGAACCGACAAGAAUUGGUACCAACAGUGCUAUUUCAUUGUCCGCAUUUGAGUGAACUUGAUUCAUCUUCAAGUUCGGUCAAGGUACAUUUGGUACACGUUCUUUUCCCUCUACCACUUACAUUUUGCUUGAAAUGAUGGAUAGGCCAAGUUCUUCUACAAAUCCACCUCUCAUCGAGAACGGCGAUGACAUGUCAUCAUUCGUCACAAAGAGCCACCUCUUUGGUGCUCAAAGGGCGUUACACCAAGAUCAACAAGCUAUGAGCGACCGCAUCGACAACCUCGCCACCGACUUGCGACUCUCCGAGCAACGUACAAGAGACUACUUCAACAACAAGUUCGACUCUCACAAGCAAGAGAAUGAUGCAAGAAUGGACAAGAUCCGCGCCUUGAUGAGGAACCGGCAUCCUUCCACUUCUUCAUCCUCAAGACGGAGCCGCUCGAGUCGACACUCUGACGACACCUUCUCUGACUCAAGUACACCGUCAUCGAACACUCUUCGACGAGCCGCGCGUCAAGAUCAUCAUGCAUCUCGCAACCCGCUACAUGACAAGCAUUCCCAAGAGCAAGUUGAUGAGCAAGUCCCUCGUCCUCAAUCAAACCAAGUCGCUUUUGCUCAAGCUCAAGAACGGCAAUGACUACAGCGCCAAGAGGAAGAACGAGCGCGUCUACACCAAGAGGAACAAGACGCCGAAGCUCAACGUCUUCAACAAUAACAACGAGAAGCGCAAGCUCUUGAGGCGCAAUGUGCCCUUCAAGAAUCAAGUUGAGCCAUCGCCAACCGCAAUCGCGAACGGCGCAAUCAAGAGGAAGCUCUUCAAGAAGAAAUCCAAGAGAGGAACUACCAACUGCGUGUGCAACGUCAAGCUCCACAAGUUCCUCCACAAGCACGUCAAGCUCCACAAGUCCCUCCACAAGCACGUCAAGCUCCACAAGCUCCUCCACAAGCUCGUCAAGCUCUACCUCAACUUCAAGCUCAACAAGAACAAGUUGACUAUGGACUUCCUCCGCGCCAAGAGCAACAUGAGGAUGACUAUCCUCCAUGUCAAGGACGUCAUCAUCACCAUCGCUAACAACACAAUGAAGAACAACGCUAUGGAAAGCUCAAAUUCACAAUGCCCAAGUUCAAUGGAAGCAAUGAUCCCGAAGAAUACCUCUCAUGGGCGUUGAAGAUCGACAAAAUUUUCCGCUUGCACAACUAUGAGGAAGAGAAGAAGAUCGCUAUGGCAUCACUUGAGUUCCAAGACUAUGUGCUCAUAUGGUGGGAACAAGUCCUUGAGCGCCGUGAAGCAAGAGGUGAACCACCUAUAACCACUUGGGCUCAAAUGAAGGAAGUCAUGCGAGCACGUUUUGUGCCAACCUACUACAACCGCGAUCUCUUCAAGAAGCUACAACUCCUCAAGCAAGGAACAAAGAGUGUUGAAGAAUACUACAAGGAAAUGGAGAUAGCCAUAAUUCGAGCCAAUGUCAAGGAAGAUGAUGAGCAAACAAUGGCACGUUUCUUGAAUGGACUCAAUCAUCCCAUCAAGAAGAUUGCCGACUUCCAACCCUACUCCAACCUCAUUGAGCUCGUGCAUCAAGCAACCAAGGCGGAACGUCAAGUGCAAGAUGACUUCAAGUACGCCAAGUACUCAUCCAAGACCUACGGCUUCUCCAACAUCCAAGCUUCAACGACUCCUUUGUUGGGGAACGUUGCAGAAAACAAAAAAAUUUCCUACUCGUUUCACCAAGAUCAUCUAGGAGUUCAUCUAGCAACGAGUGAUUAGAUGCAUCUACAUACCUUUGUAGAUCGCGCACGGAAGCAUUCAAAAGAACGGUGAUGAUGUAGUCGUACUCGACGUGAUCCAAAUCACCGAUGACCAGCGCCGAACGGACGGCACCUCCGCGUUCAACACACGUACGGGACGGGAGACGUCUCCUCCUUCUUGAUCCAUCAAGGGGGAAGGAGAGGUUGAUGAAGAUCCAGCAGCACGACGGCGUGGUGGUGGAUGCAGGGCGUCACAGCAGCAGGGCUUCGCCGAGACUACGAGGGAGAGACGUAACGGGGGGAGGUGGAGGCGCCAGGGGCUGGUGUAUGAAGUCCCUCCUCUCCCACACUAUAUAUAGGGGUGCCAGGGGGGGCUGGUGCGCAGCCUAGGAGAUCUGAUCUCCUAGGUGCGGCGGCCAGGGGAGGGUUUCCCUCCCCCCCAAGGCACCCCGGGGUGCCUUCCACCACUUGGACUCCUCCUUGGUGGAACCCUAGGCGCAUGGGCCUAUAGGGGCUGGUGCCCUUGGCCCAUCUAGGCCAAGGCGCACCCCCUACAGCCCAUGUGGCCCCCCGUACAGGUGGCCCCACCCGGUGGACCCCCGGGACCCUUCCGGUGGUCCCGGUACAAUACCGAUAACCCCGAAACUUGCCCCGAUGCCCGAAAUAGCACUUCCUAUAUAUAAUUCUUUACCUCCGGACCAUUCCGGAACUCCUCGUGACGUCCGGGAUCUCAUCCGGGACUCCGAACAACAUUCGGGUUUCUGCAUAUACAUAUCUUCAUAACCCUAGCGUCACCGAACCUUAAGUGUGUAGACCCUACGGGUUCGGGAGACAAGCAGACAUGACCGAGACGACUCUCCGGUCAAUAACCAACAGCGGGAUCUGGAUACCCAUGUUGGCUCCCACAUGCUCCACGAUGAUCUCAUCGGAUGAACCACGAUGUCGAGGAUUCUAUCAACCCCGUACGCUAUUCCCUUUGUCUAUCGAUAUGUUACUUGCCCGAGAUUCGAUCGUCGGUAUCCCAAUACCUCGUUCAAUCUCGUUAUCGGCAAGUCACUUUACUCGUACCGUAAUGCAUGAUCCCGUGACCAGACACUUGGUCACUCUGAGCUCAUUAUGAUGAUGCAUUACCGAGUGGGCCCAGUGAUACCUCUCCGUCAUACGGAGUGACAAAUCCCAGUCUUGAUCCAUGUCACCCAACAGACACUUUCGGAGAUACCCGUAGUCUACCUUUAUAGUCACCCAGUUACGUUGUGACGUUUGGCAUACCCAAAGCACUCCUACGGUAUCCGGGAGUUACACGAUCUCAUGGUCUAAGGAAAAGAUACUUGACAUUGGAAAACUCUAGCAAACGAACUAUACGAUCUUGUGCUAUGUUUAGGAUUGGGUCUUGUCCAUCACAUCAUUCUCCUAAUGAUGUGAUCUCGUUAUCAAUGACAUCCACUGUCCAUAGUCAGGAAACCAUGACUAUCUGUUGAUCAAUGAGCUAGUCAACUAGAGGCUCACUAGGGACAUGUUGGUGUCUGUUAUUCACACAUGUAUUACGAUUUCCGUAUAACACAAUUAUAGCAUGAAUAAAGACAAAUUAUCAUGAACAAGGAAAUAUAAUAAUAAUGCUUUUAUUAUUGCCUCUAGGGCAUAUUUCCAACAGUCUCCCACUUGCACUAGAGUCAAUAAUCUAGUUACAUUGUGAUGAAUCGAACACCCAUGGAAUUCUGGUGUUGAUCAUGUUUUGCUCUAGGGAGAGGUUUAGUCAACGGAUCUGCUACAUUCAGGUCCGUAUGUACUUUACAAAUCUCUAUGUCUCCAUCUUGAACAUUUUCACGAAUGGAGUUGAAGCGACGCUUGAUGUGCCUCGUCUUCUUGUGAAACCUGGGCUCCUUGGCAAGUGCAAUAGCUCCAGUGUUGUCACAGAAGAGCUUGAUCGGCCCCGACGCAUUGGGUAUGACUCCUAGGUCGGUGAUGAACUCCUUCACCCAUAUUGCUUCAUGUGCUGCCUCCGAGGCUGCCAUGUACUCCGCUUCACAUGUAGAUCCCGCCACGACACUUUGCUUGCAACUGCACCAGCUUACUGCCCCACCAUUCAAAAUAUACACGUAUCCGGUUUGUGACUUAAGAGUCAUCCAGAUCUGUGUCGAAGCUAGCACCGACGUAACCCUUCACGACGAGCUCUUCGUCACCUCCAUAAACGAGAAACAUUUCCUUAGUCCUUUUCAGGUACUUCAGGAUAUUCUUGACCGCUGUCCAGUGUUCCUUGCGGGGAUUACUUUGGUACCUUCCUACCAAACUUACGGCAAGGUUUACAUCAGGUCUGGUACACAGCAUGGCAUACAUAAUAGAACCUAUGGCUGAGGCAUAGGGGAUGACGCUCAUCUCUUCUAUAUCUACUGCCGUGGUCGGACAUUGAGCUGAGCUCAAUUUUGUACCUUGCAACACAGGCAAGAACCCCUUCUUGGAUUGAUCCAUAUUGAACUUCUUCAAUAUCUUAUCAAGGUAUGUGCUUUGUGAAAGACCUAUGAGGCGUCUCGAUCUAUCUCUAUAGAUUUUGAUGCCUAAUAUAUAAGCAGCUUCUCCAAGGUCCUUCAUUGAAAAACUUUUAUUCAAGUAGGCCUUGAUGCUGUCCAAGAGUUCUAUAUCAUUUCCCAUCAACAGUAUGUCAUCUACAUAUAAUAUGAGAAAUGCUACAGAGCUCCCACUCACUUUCUUGUAAACGCAGGCUUCUCCAUAAGUCUGUGUAAACCCAAACGCUUUGAUCAUCUCAUCAAAGCGAAUGUUCCAACUCCGAGAUGCUUGCACCAGCCCAUAAAUCGAGCGUUGGAGCUUGCACACUUUGUCAGCAUUCUUAGGAUCGACAAAACCUUCUGGCUGUAUCAUAUACAAUUCUUCCUUAAGGAAACCAUUAAGGAAUGCCGUUUUGACGUCCAUUUGCCAUAUUUCGUAAUCAUAGAAUGCGGCAAUUGCUAACAUGAUUCGGACGGACUUCAGCUUUGCUACCGGUGAGAAAGUCUCAUCGCAGUCAACCCCUUGAACUUGUCGAUAACCCUUAGCGACAAGCCGAGCUUUAUAGAUGGUCACAUUACCAUCCGCGUCUGUCUUCUUCUUAAAGAUCCAUUUAUUUUCUAUGGCUCGCCGCUCAACGGGCAAGUCAGUCAAAGUCCAUACUUUGUUUUUCAUACAUGGAUCCUAUCUCGGAUUUCAUGGCUUCCAGCCAUUUGUCGGAAUCCGGGCCCGCCAUCGCUUCUUCAUAGUUCGAAGGUUCACCGUUGUCUAACAGCAUGAUUUCCAAAACAGGGUUGCCGUACCACUCUGGUGCGGAACGUGUCCUUGUGGACCUUCGAAUUUCAGUAGGGGCUUGAUCAGAAGUAUCUUGAUCAUUUUCAUUAACUUCCUCUCUAGUCGGUGCAGGCACCUCAGGAACAUUUUCUUGAGUUGCGCCAUUUUCCGGUUCAAGAGGUAAUACUUCAUCAAGCUCUACUUUCCUCCCACUUACUUCUUUCGAGAGAAACUCUUUCUCCAGAAAGGACCCAUUCUUGGCAACAAAGAUCUUGCCUUCAGAUCUGAGGUAGAAGGUGUACCCAAUAGUUUCUUUUGGGUAUCCUAUGAAGACGCAUUUUUCCGACUUGGGUUCGAGCUUUUCAGGUUGAAGUUUCUUGACAUAAGCAUCGCAUCCCCAAACUUUUAGAAACGACAGCUUAGGUUUCUUCCCAAACCAUAAUUCAUACGGUGUCGUCUCAACGGAUUUCGACGGUGCCCUAUUUAAAGUGAAUGCGGCAGUCUCUAAAGCAUAGCUCCAAAAAGAAAGCGGUAAAUCGGUAAGAGACAUCAUAGAUCGCACCAUAUCUAACAGAGUGCGAUUACGACGUUCGGACACACCAUUACGCUGAGGUGUUCCAGGCGGCGUGAGUUGUGAAACUAUUCCACAUUUUCUUAAGUGUGCCCCAAACUCGUGACUCAAGUAUUCUCCUCCACGAUCUGAUCGUAGAAACUUGAUUUUCCUGUCAUGUUGAUUUUCAACCUCACUCUGAAAUUCCUUGAACUUUUCAAAGGUUUCAGACUUGUGUUUCAUUAAGUAGAUAUACCCAUACCUACUUAAAUCAUCAGUGAGGGUGAGAACAUAACGAUAGCCACCGCGAGCCUCAACACUCAUCGGACCGCACACAUCAGUAUGUAUGAUUUCCAAUAAGUCGGUUGCUCGCUCCAUUGUUCCUGAGAACGGAGUCUUGGUCAUUUUACCCAUAAGGCAUGGUUCGCACGUGUCAAAUGAUUCAUAAUCAAGAGACUCUAAAAGUCCAUCUGCAUGGAGCUUCUUCAUGCGUUUGACACCUAUGUGACCAAGGCGGCAGUGCCACAAGUAUGUGGGACUAUCAUUAUCAACCUUACUUCUUUUGGUACUCACAUUAUGAACAUGUGUAGCAUCACGUUCGAGAUUCAUAAAGAAUAAACCAUUCACCAUAGGAGCAUGACCAUAAAACAUAUCUCUCAUAAAAAUGGAACAACCAUUAUUCUCAGAUUUAAAAGAGUAGCCAUCUCGAAUUAAACGAGAUCCCAAUACAAUGUUCAUGCUCAAAGCUGGCACUAAAUAACAAUUAUUAAGGUUUAAAACUAAUCCCGAAGGGAGAUGCAGGGGUAGCGUGUCGACGGCGAUCACAUUGACCUUGGAACCAUUCCCGACGCGCAUCGUCACCUCGUCCUUUGCCAGUUUCCGCUUAUUCCGCAGCCCCUGCUUUGAGUUACAAAUGUGAGCAACUGCACCGGUAUCAAAUACCCAGGAGCCACUACGGGCACUAGUAAGGUACACGUCAAUUACAUGUAUAUCACAUAUACCUUUUGUUUUGCCGGCCUUCUUAUCCGCUAAGUACUUAGGGCAGUUCCGCUUCCAGUGACCGCUUCCCUUGCAAUAAAAGCACUCAGUCUCGGGCUUGGGUCCAUUCUUUGGCUUCUUCCCGGCAGCUUGCUUGCCGGGCGCGGCAACCUCCUUGCCGUCCUUCUUGAAGUUCUUUUUACCCUUGCCUUUCUUGAACUUAGUGGUUUUAUUGACCAUCAACACUUGAUGUUCCUUCCUGACUUCUACCUCUGCUGAUUUCAGCAUAGCAAAUAAUUCAGGAAUGGUCUUUUCCAUCCCCUGCAUAUUGAAGUUCAUCACAAAGCUCUUGUAGCUUGGUGGAAGCGACUGGAGGAUUCUGUCAAUGACCGCAUCCUCCGGGAGAUUAACUCCCAGCUGAGUCAAGCGGUUAUGCAACCCAGACAUAGUGAGUAUGUGCUCACUGACAGAACUGUUUUCCUCCAUCUUACAGCUGAAGAAUUUGUCGGAGACUUCAUAUCUCUCGACCCGGGCAUGAGCUUGGAAAACCAUUUUCAGCUCUUCGAACAUCUCAUAUGCUCCAUGUCUCUCAAAACGCUUUUGGAGCCCCGGCUCUAGGCUGUAAAGCAUGCCGCACUGAACGAGGGAGUAGUCAUCGAAACGUGCCUGCCAAGCGUUCAUAACAUCUUGUUCUGCAGGGAGAACGGGUGCGUCACCAAGCGGUGCUUGUAGGACAUAAUCUUUCUUGGCAGCUAUGAGGAUGAUCCUCAGGUUCCGGACCCAGUCCGUAUAGUUGCUGCCAUCGUCUUUCAGCUUAGUUUUCUCUAGGAACGUGUUGAAGUUGAGGACUACGUUGGCCAUUUGAUCUACAAGACAUAUUGCAAAGAUUUUAGACUAAGUUCAUGAUAAUUAAGUUCAACUAAUCAAAUUAUUAGUGAACUCCCACUUAGAUUAGACAUCCCUCUAGUCAUCUAAGUAUUACAUGAUCCGAGUUAAACUAGACCGUGUCCGAUCAUCACGUGAGACGGACUAGUCAACAUCGGUGAACAUCUUCAUGUUGAUCGUAUCUUCUAUACGACUCAUGCUCGACCUUUCGGUCUUCUGUGUUCCGAGGUCAUGUCUGUACAUGCUAGGCUCGUCAAGUCAAUCUAAGUGUUUGCAUGUGUAAAUCUGUCUUACACCCGUUGUAUGUGAACGUCUGAAUAAAACACCCGAUCAUCACGUGGUGUUUUGAAACAGCGAAAUGUCGCAACGGUGCACAGUUAGGGGGAACACUUCUUGAAAUUAGUAUGAGGGAUCACCUUAUUUACUACCGUCGUUCUAAGUAAACAAGAUGCAAAACAUGAUAAACAUCACAUGCAAUCAAAUAAUAAACGUGACAUGAUAUGGCCAAUAUCACAUAGCUCCUUUGAUCUCCAUCUUGGGGCUCCAUGAUCAUCUUGUCACCGGCUUGACACCAUGAUCUCCAUCAUCAUGAUCUCCAUCAUCGUGUCUCCAUGAAGUUGCUCGCCAACUAUUACUUCUACUACUAUGGCUAACGCGUUUAGCAAUAAAGUAAAGUAAUUUACAUGGCGUUUCUUGAUGACACGCAGGUCAUAUAAAAGAAUAAAGACAACUCCUAUGGCUCCUGCCGGUUGUCAUACUCAUUGACAUGCAAGUCGUGAAUCCUAUUACAAUAGCAUGAACAUCUCAUACAUCACAUAUAGAUCAUUCAUCAUUCAUCACAACUUUGGCCAUAUCAUAUCACAAACCACUUGCUGCAAAAACAAGUUAGACGUCCUCUAAUUGUUGUUGCAAGUUUUACGUGGCUGAAUUAGGGUUCUAGCAAGAACGUUUUCUUACCUACGUUAAAGCCACAACGUGAUUUGUCAACUUCUAUUUACCCUUCAUAAGGACCCUGUUCAUCGAUUCCGCUCCAACUAAAGUAGGAGAGACAGACACCCGCCAGCCACCUUAUGCAACUAGUGCAUGUUAGUCGGUGGAACCGGUCUCACGUAAGCGUGCGUGUAAGGUUGGUCCGGGCCGCUUCAUCCCACAAUACCGCUGAAGCAAGAAAGGACUAGUAACGGCAAGAAAGUUGACAAAUCGACGCCCACAACAAAUUGUGUUCUACUCGCGCAAGAAGAACUACGCAUAGACCUAGCUCAUGAUGCCACUGUUGGGGAACGUUGCAGAAAACAAAAAAUUUCCUACUCGUUUCACCAAGAUCAUCUAGGAGUUCAUCUAGCAACGAGUGAUUAGAUGCAUCUACAUACCUUUGUAGAUCGCGCACGGAAGCGUUCAAAAGAACGGUGAUGAUGUAGUCGUACUCGACGUGAUCCAAAUCACCGAUGACCAGCGCCGAACGGACGGCACCUCCGCGUUUAACACACGUACGGGACGGGAGACGUCUCCUCCUUCUUGAUCCAGCAAGGGGGAAGGAGAGGUUGAUGAAGAUCCAGCAGCACGACGGCGUGGUGGUGGAUGCAGGGCGUCACAGCAGCAGGGCUUCGCCGAGACUACGAGGGAGAGACGUAACGGGGGGAGGUGGAGGCGCCAGGGGCUGGUGUAUGAAGUCCCUCCUCUCCCCCACUAUAUAUAGGGGUGCCAGGGGGGGCUGGUGUGCAGCCUAGGAGAUCUGAUCUCCUAGGUGCGGCGGCCAGGGGAGGGUUUCCCUCCCCCCCAAGGCACCUCGGGGUGCCUUCCACCACUUGGACUCCUCCUUGGUGGAACCCUAGGCGCAUGGGCCUAUAGGGGCUGGUGCCCUUGGCCCAUCUAGGCCAAGGCGCACCCCCUACAGCCCAUGUGGCCCCCCGGGACAGGUGGCCCCACCCGGUGGACCCCCGGGACCCUUCCGGUGGUCCCGGUACAAUACCGAUAACCCCGAAACUUGCCCCGAUGCCCGAAAUAGCACUUCCUAUAUAUAAUUCUUUACCUCCGGACCAUUCCGGAACUCCUCGUGACGUCCGGGAUCUCAUCCGGGACUCCGAACAACAUUCGGGUUUCUGCAUAUACAUAUCUUCAUAACCCUAGCGUCACCGAACCUUAAGUGUGUAGACCCUACGGGUUCGGGAGACAAGCAGACAUGACCGAGACGACUCUCCGGUCAAUAACCAACAGCGGGAUCUGGAUACCCAUGUUGGCUCCCACAUGCUCCACGAUGAUCUCAUCGGAUGAACCACGAUGUCGAGGAUUCUAUCAACCCCGUACGCUAUUCCCUUUGUCUAUCGAUAUGUUACUUGCCCGAGAUUCGAUCGUCGGUAUCCCAAUACCUCAUUCAAUCUCGUUACCGGCAAGUCACUUUACUCGUACCGUAAUGCAUGAUCCUGUGACCAGACACUUGGUCACUCUGAGCUCAUUAUGAUGAUGCAUUACCGAGUGGGCCCAGUGAUACCUCUCCGUCAUACGGAGUGACAAAUCCCAGUCUUGAUCCAUGUCACCCAACAGACACUUUCGGAGAUACCCGUAGUCUACCUUUAUAGUCACCCAGUUACGUUGUGACGUUUGGCAUAUCCAAAGCACUCCUACGGUAUCCGGGAGUUACACGAUCUCAUGGUCUAAGGAAAAGAUACUUGACAUUGGAAAACUCUAGCAAACGAACUAUACGAUCUUGUGCUAUGUUUAGGAUUGGGUCUUGUCCAUCACAUCAUUCUCCUGAUGAUGUGAUCUCGUUAUCAAUGACAUCCAGUGUCCAUAGUCAGGAAACCAUGACUAUCUGUUGAUCAACGAGCUAGUCAACUAGAGGCUCACUAGGGACAUGUUGGUGUCUGUUAUUCACACAUGUAUUACGAUUUCCGGAUAACACAAUUAUAGCAUGAAUAAAGACAAUUAUCAUGAACAAGGAAAUAUAAUAAUAAUGCUUUUAUUAUUGCCUCUAGGGCAUAUUUCCAACAUCCUUCAACAUCUACAUCAACCAAGCCUUCUCCAAGCAAUGACGACAAGUCAAGUUACAAGAAACCUUCGUCAAGUUCAAGUCGUCUUCUUCCUAAUACAAGCAAGCCGCGUGCUUCAUCAUCUACUCCAACCGAGGAAACCAUCAAGACAAGCUCCUUCAAGUGUUUCACUUGCGGCAGCCAAGGCCACAAGUCCUAUGAAUGCACAAACAAGCGCACCAUGAUCCUCAACGAUGAUGGCACAUAUGACUCCAUGAGUGAUGAGGAGAUGGAAGCUCUUGAGCAAGUGGCCAUGCACCGGCGCGUGAACGAAGAUGAAGAUGAUCAAUUCUUUUGUGAUGAGGAUUUGAGCCCCGCUCUCGUUGUCUCCAAAGUCUUGACACUUCAACAUCAACAAGAAGAAGACCAAAGAUGCCACAUCUUCCACACCAAGGCCGGCAUCAAUGGAAGGUCCGUCAAGGUCAUCAUCGAUGGAGGUAGUUGUCACAACUUGACAAGUGAAGAAUUAUGUUCCAAGCUUCAAUUGGUCAAGAGGAAGCACCAGCACCCCUACAAGGUUCAAUGGCUAAGUGACUCCGACACUAUACGAGUCGAGCAUACGGUCCAAGUAUCCUUCAAAAUUGGUGCUUAUGAAGACACUUUGGAGUGUGAUGUGGUCCCAAUGACCGUUUGCCACCUACUUCUUGGUCGACCAUGGCAAUUCAACCGUGGUGUCAUCCACAAUGGGCGCACCAAUCACUAUAGCUUCAAAAUGAAGGGGAAGGAAUAUGUGCUACGACCUAUGUCUCCUAGUCAAGUAAUAGCCGACAAGCAAGCCACCAAUCAUGGAGAGAAGAGUGAAAAAGUGACACACCCAAAAGUGAGUGAGAGCCACAAGCCAAAUUUGAGCGCCUCUUCGCCUAGAGAGAAAAACCUCAUCCUAUUUGCCACCAAAAGUGAGAUAAGAGAAGUGUGUAAGAACCCAUCGAGUGUGAUGCACUUCGUCCUUGUGUGCAAAGAUGGAGAGCCAACAACUAACACCUCUCACGAGCUACCUUUAGUGUUUCAAUCUCUUUUGCAGGAAUUAAAGAUGUUUUCCCUGAUGAGCUACCUCCGGGUCUACCUCCACUACGAGGCAUUGAGCAUCGAAUCGACCUCAUCCCCGGAGCGCCACUUCCAAACAAAGCUCCAUACCGUGUCAAUCCCGAAGAAACCAAGGAGAUUCAACGGCAAGUACAACAACUCAUCGACAACGGUCAUGUACGUGAAAGCUUAAGCCCAUGUGCCGUUCCCGUUAUACUUGUGCCCAAACCCGAUGGAAGUUUCUGCUUGUGUUCCGAUUGCAGACCCAUAAAUGCCAUUACCGUUCGAUAUAGGCAUCCCAUUCCUCGCUUAGACGAUAUGCUUGAUGAACUUAGUGGAGCCAACUUUUUCUCAAAAAUUGAUCUUAAAAGUGGCUAUUAUCAAAUCCGCAUUCAAGAAGGUGAUGAAUGGAAAACCGCUUUCAAAACAAAAUUUGGCUUAUAUGAGUGGUUAGUGAUGCCUAUGGGUUUGUCGGAAGCACCCGGAACUUUCGUGCGUCUUAUGCAUCAUGUGCUUAGACCUUACAUUGGAGUCUUCGUUAUGGUUUACUUUGAUGAUAUCCUUGUGUUUAGCAAAACCAUGAAAGAGCACAUUGAUCAUGUUAAAUCUGUGUUGCAAACCCUCCGCAAGGAAAGCCUUUAUGCAAACUUGAAAAAAUGCACUUUUGGCGUUGACAAAGUGGUUUUCUUGGGUUUUGUUGUCUCUUCCAAGGGUUUCCAUGUUGAUGAAACUAAGAUUAUGACAAUUAAAACUUGGCCCCAACCCACCAAUUUGCAACAAGUGCGUAGUUUUCUCGGUCUUACAGGAUUUUAUCGCCGCUUUGUGAAAAACUUUAGCACAAUUGCCGCUCCUUUACAUGCUUUGAGUAAGAAGAAUGCUUCUUUUGUUUGGGGAUCUUUGCAAUCCACCGCUUUUGAUGAGCUCAAGUCUUUGCUUACUCAUGCUCCGAUUCUUGCUUUGCCCAACUUUGAGAAAACUUUUGAGGUUCAUUGUGAUGCAAGUGGUACCGGAAUUGGUGGAGUUUUGAUGCAAGAAAAACGAGCCAUUGCUUAUUUUAGUGAAAAACUCUCCGGUGCUCAAAUUAACUACCCCAUCUAUGACAAAGAAUUAUAUGCUUUAGUACGUGUGCUACAUGUUUGGGAACAUUACCUUAGACCUCAUGAAUUUGUCAUCCAUACCGAUCAUGAAACGCUUAAGUACUUCAAAGGUCAAACUAAGUUGAACAAGCGUCAUGCCAAAUGGAGUGAAUUUAUUGAAUCUUUCCCAUAUGUGAUCAAGUACAUUAAGGGUAAAGAAAAUGUUGUUGCGGAUGCACUUUCACGCAUAUGCACCCUUGUCACUCAACUUGAGUUGAAUGUUAUUGGUUUUGAGCAUAUAAAAGACUUGUAUGAGCAUGAUCCUUAUUUUGCUACUCCUUAUGCUAAGUGUUUGACACACACGUCUUGGGAACGAUACUACAUAAAGGAUGAUUAUCUUAUGAGAGCUAACAAACUUUGCAUUCCCGAGUCUUCUCUUCGUUUACUCCUUUUGCAAGAGGCUCAUGGAGGCGGACUCAUGGGACACUUUGGACACGACAAGACAUUCGCCACACUCUCCAAGAACUACUUUUGGCCCAAGAUGUUCCGUGACGUCUCACGCUUCACCAACUGGUGCUCUACAUGUCGCAAAGCUAAGUCUAAAGCUCAAUCCCAUGGUCUUUACAUGCCACUUCCCAUUCCUUAUCAACCUUGGGAAGACAUUAGCAUGGAUUUUAUACUUGGUUUGCCUAGAACUCAAAAUGGCAAGGAUUCCAUCUUUGUUGUUGUGGACAGAUUUUCUAAGAUGGCACAUUUCAUUCCUUGCAACAAGAUAGACGAUGCUUCACAUAUUGCCAAUCUAUUUAAGGGAAAUCUUGCGACUUCAUGGAGUGCCAAAGACAAUUGUCUUGGACCGCGACGUCAAGUUCUUGAGUUACUUUUGGAAGACCCUAUGCGCCAAGCUCGGCAUCAAGCUAUUGUUCUCUUCGGCAUACCAUCCUCAAAUCGACGGCCAAACGGAGGUGACGAACCGCACACUAUCCACUCUACUUUGUGUGUUGAUCAAGAGGAACAUAAAGGAGUGGGAGGCGUGCCUACCAAUCGCCGAGUAUGCCUACAACCCUGCAAGACAUUCGACGACCGGCAAGUCCCGUUUUGAGGUCGUCUACGGCUUCAACCCGUUGUCCCCAUUGGACAUUCUACCUCUUCCUCUACAAGAGCGCACCAACCUCGACGCAAGUGCCCAUGCAAGCUACAUCAAGAAGAUGCAUGAAGAUACAAGGCACACCAUCGAGCGCCAAGUACAACGCCUCGCGACCAAGCUCAACGUCAACAAGCAUCCCAUGAUAUUCAACAUUGGAGACCUAGUGUGGCUACAUCUGCACAAGGACCGCUUCCCCAACGAACGCAAGUCCAAGCUUCCCCCUCGCGCCGAUGGACCUUUCAAGGUGCUAGCACGCUACAACAACAAUGCUUACAAGAUCGAUCUCCCACGCGACAAGUACAACGUGAGCGACAUCUUUAACGUCUCCGAUCUCUCCCCAUACCAUGGUGAUGAGGAUUUCGAUGCGAGGUCGGAUCUUUCACAAGGAGGGGGAGAUGAUGCGGAGCAUCCUUCGGUCAUCCCCAUGGACCUUCCGUCGCCUCACCAAGCACCAAGAGAACCCAUGACACGAGCACGAGCUAAGGCUAUUGAAGAUAAGGUGAACUCGCUCCUCUCCGAACUUCCUCUUCCUACUCACGAGACAUGGCUACUACCUCAUUCGGAAACUCUGUGUGUGAUCAGGUGCCUGGAAGCGAGCCACGGAACAGCUACAUACAAGAGCCACGACGGCAAGGACCCCAAGCAUGAGGGACAAGAAGAAGAGCUGCCGUGGAAGCUAUAGGUGUCGGAUGACCGACCCAGUCCGGACGUUCGACGAGUGCCAGGACAUGGACGAUCGAGCUUUCCGGACGUCCGGUACUUCACCACCCGGACCAAAUCUACGGACAUCUGAAGCGGACCGGACGACAAGCAACCGAGCCGAAUCUACGGAAGACUGACGACCUCCGGACGUCCGGACCAUCACGAAGCUCCGGACGACCGACCCCCUCUGGACGUCCGACGCGCCCACGACAGAGCUGAUUCUACGGACGCCCGAGCCUGACCGGACGUCCGGACCGUCCCGAGCCUCCGGACGUCUGACGCCUUCCGGACGACCGGCACCUGAGUGACCGCACCUGCGGGCUGGAGCCCUUGUACCCCUUCGCUUUGACUUCCAUUUGCACUACGACUAUAAAUAGGUCGCCCCCACCUCCUAGUUAGGGUUAGCAUUGGUUUAGCUCAUAUUUGUGUGAGAGCCUUGCUCAUCCACUUGGAUACUUCUCCUCGGAGUUCACGGCCUCUUCGGAGAAGAUCCCCCAAGCGGAUUCAAGACCCCUUUCAAGGGAAGACCAUCAAGACCUCCGUACGGAGAAGAAGGGUUCCUUUGUAUCCUUACCUUUGUUGACUUUGGAUCUCGUGUAUCUCUUUGUGUUCGGUGAUCUAGCACUCGUGUGAUUGAUCUCUUAUCAGUUGAGUGUUUCUCUCGUUUUCCCCCGUGAUUCUCUUCGUUUUCUUCCGCUCAUUCUUCUUGUCUCCCCAUAGGAUCCACUCCAAAUGUGAAAGAUCGGCACCUAGGGUUCCGCCCUACAUCAAUCGUCGUUCUAAAUUUGCUCCUAAAUCUCAUGAAGGUUUCUUACUUGGUUAUGGCUCAAACUCUCACACUUACCGUGUCUACAAUAAUUUCACCCGAAAGGUUGAAGAGACGGUAGAUGUGAAGUUUGAUGAAUCUAACGGCUCACAAGUAUAGCAAUUGCCAAUUGAUGUAGGAUACGAAGACCCUUCGGAAGCAAUCCAAGACUUGUCUAUUGGCAAGAUUCGUCCAAUGGAGGUGAAGGAGAGUACCUCGUCUGUCCAAGUGGAAGCUUCCACCUCACGACAAGGUGAACCAAGAGUUGAUAUGGAAGCAUCCACAAGUGGGACAAACCAAGACGAAGAAAAGGAGGAAGUACACCAAGAUGAACCUCAACAACCUCCUUCUCCACCACGACAAGAGAACACAACGUCAACAAUGAAGAAGGCCAAGAAGAAGAACAAGAUGAAGAAGAUGUUCCACCAAGAUCCAAGCAAAAUCUUUCACGAGUUCGAGCAAGAGUCCCCAAAGACCAUCCCGUCGAGCAAAUCUACAAUGAUAUCCAAACCGGGAGAAUCACUCGCUCUAAAACUCGUUUGGCUAACUUUUGUGAACAUUAUUCAUUCAUCUCUAGCAUUGAACCUAUGAAGGUUGAAGAAGCAUUGGAUGAUCCGGAUUGGAUAAACGCCAUGCACAAAGAGCUACACAACUUUGAGAGAAAUCAAGUUUGGACAUUGGUUGAGAAGCCCGACGACAACCACAAUAUCAUUGGUACCAAAUGGGGUUUCGGAACAAGCAAGGUGAAGAUGGACAAGUGCUUCACAACAAAGCACGUCUCGUCGCCCAAGGCUACACUCAAGUCAAAGGUAUGGACUAUGGUGAGACAUAUGCCCCCGUUGCUAGACUUGAGUCCAUUCGCAUCUUACUUGCCUAUGCUAAUCACCAUGAUAUCACCUUGUACCAAAUGGACAUUAAAAGUGCCUUUUUAAAUGGUGAAAUAGAGGAGGAAGUUUAUGUUAAGCAACCUCCCGGUUUUGUCAAUCCUAAGAAACCUAAUCAUGUUUACAAACUUCACAAAGCUCUUUACGGUCUUAAACAAGCUCCUAGAGCGUGGUAUAAAUGCUUGACCAAGUUCCUUAUCGAAAAAGGCUUUGAAAUUGGAAAAAUUGAUUCUACUCUUUUUACUAAAAGGGUUAAUGGAGAAAUAUUUGUGUGUCAAAUCUAUAUUGAUGAUAUUAUAUUUGGUUCGACUAACCCUCACUUUAGUGAAAAGUUUGGAAAGCUAAUGUCGGAGAAGUUUGAGAUGUCGAUGAUGAGUGAACUCAAAUUCUUUCUCGGUUUGCAAAUCAAGAAAACUAAGGAAGGUACCUUUGUAUCUCAAACAAAGUACACCAAGGACUUAUUCAAGAAGUUCAAUAUGCAAUAAUGUAAAGGUAUGACUACACCCAUGCCUACUAGUGGACAUCUUGAUUUGACCAAAGAUAGUGAACCGGUUGAUCAAAAGGUUUACCGAUCCAUGAUUGGUUCAUUACUAUAUCUAUGUGCCUCUCGUCCCGAUAUUAUGCUAAGUGUGUGCAUGUGUGCACGAUAUCAAGCUGCUCCUAAACAAUGUCAUCUUAAGGCUGUGAAAAGGAUAGUGAGAUACUUAAUUCAUACACCAAAUUUUGGCAUUUGGUAUCCGAAGAGGGCCUCCUUUAAUCUUGUUGGCUACUAUGACUCGGACUAUGCUGGUGACAAGGUUGAUAGAAAGUCCACUUUGGGUACUUGUCAAUUUCUUGGUAGAUCUCUUGUGUCUUGGUCCUUGUCGGUGUCAAAAUCGGCGGAUCUCGGGUAGGGGGUCCCGAACUGUGCGUCUAGGCGGAUGGUAACAGGAGGCAAGGGACACGAUGUUUUUACCCAGGUUCGGGCCCUCUCGGUGGAGGUAAAACCCUAUUCUUGCUUGAUUAAUAUUGAUGGUAUGGGUAAUACAAAAGUUGAUCUACCACGAGAUCAAAGAGGCUAAACCCUAGAAGCUAGCCUAUGGUAUGAUUGUUGUUCGUCCUACGGACUAAACCUCUCUGGUUUAUAUAGACACCGGAGAGGGCUAGGGUUACACAGAGUCGGUUACAAUGGGAGGAGAUCUUCAUAUCGUAUCGCCAAGCUUGUCUUCCACGCCAAGGAAAGUCCCAUCCAGACACGGGACAAAGUCUUCAAUCUUGUAUCUUCAUAGUCCGGGAGUCCGGCCAAAGGUCAUAGUCCGGCCAUCCGGACACCCCCUAAUCCAAGACUCCCUCAGUAACCCCUGAACCAGGCUUCAAUGACGACGAGUCCGGCGCGCAAAUUGUCUUCGGCAUUGCAAGGCGGGUUCCUCCUCCGAAUACUUCAUAGAUGAUGUUGAACACAAGGAUAGUGUCCGGCUCUGCAAAAAUAAGUUCCACAUACCGUCGUAGAGAGAAUAAUUCCUGGACAAAUCUAAUAUGCGGACGUAUUCCACAGCGUGACAUCACGCCACGGCCAAGCCUUUAUUCGAAUCAUUUUACUGUUCCACCUCAGCGCGUUUAGCGAGGCGGUUUCCUUGGCACGUCUUGUCAAAGUAGAGAUCGUGUCCCCUUAUUCCGGGAUUCUCAUCAAUACGGGCAUGGGUAACCCAACCGUGCCUUUUGGUAUGACUCUCUAAUUGAAAGCGAGUCCCAAACGGUUACGGGGAGGGCUCUUGGUAUUCAACUCCUUUAUAAAGAGACCAAGGCUCGACUCCCUUUUCUUUCAAUCCAAUCGAAUCCGCCCCUCACCUCGAGUUCCAACACUCAAAGCUUCUAGUUUUAGGCGCUUCAGACCUUCCAUGAUGUCCGGCUCCGACCUUCAAGGCCAGUGGGUGCCUUCCUCCGUUACGGAAGAAGACGUGCGAAAGCUGAGAGAUGCCAGGUAUCUAACUGGUGAAAUCUCGCAUAGGCUGCCUGCUCAAGGGCAGGCCAUUCCCUCUCCCCAGCCCGGCGAAAGCAUGGUGUUCACAUCUCACUUCCUUCGGGGGCUAGGAUUCCCGAUUGAUCCCUUCGUGAGGGGGUUGAUGUUCUAUUACGGGCUGGAAUUCCACGACUUAGCUCCGGAGUCCAUCCUCCAAAUUUCAUCAUUCAUUGUCGUGUGUGAGGCCUUCCUCCAUAUCACUCCUCACUUCGGAUUGUGGCUUAGAACCUUCAAGGUGGAGCCGAAGAUGAUCGAGGGGCAGCACGCUGACUGCGGAGGAGCUAUCAUAAGCAAGAUAGUCGGCGCCCCAUGGCCCGAGGGCACUUUCCAAGAGGAGUUUAGCUUAUGGCAACAAGACUGGUUUUACAUCACAGCCCCUAGGGGCACCACAUGGGUGGCGCCACCUGCUUUUCGCUCGGGUACCCCACCACGGUGAGCAUCAUGGGUCAAUGAAGGGCUUAUCUGGGGGUCGUCCGAAGACGUGCCCCUACUGCAGGACCGCAUUCGAGAUCUCCUAGAAAGAGAUAUUAACUUGACCGUCGUGGCGCAAGUUAUGCUGAUUCGCCGCAUGCUGCCCUGCAAACGUCGCCCUCUCCGCCUGUGGGAAUUUAAUCCGGAGGGACCGCGAGUCCUCCAACAUUUCAUGGGCGCGACGCCCGUGGAGAUGUACAAAUUGUUCUUCGGACCACAAGCAAGGUGUCUGGACUUGUCCGAGGACGCAGGUCUGAGCUGCAAUCGUCAGGAUGCUAAGGUAAGUAGCCCCGUAUUUGGACACACCAUCCGCAUUUUCAUCAUAAAGUGGCCCUUUAACAGAGCUAUCCUUUGAAUAGGAGUGGAUAGUGUAGGCAAAGCUUAUCAGGUGUCUAGCCCCCCUGCCCGAGACCGCGCCGGAUCCCGUGUUAACCAGGAUGCUGCAGAUUAUGCUUUCGGCAAAGGGUGAAGAGGGGAACCAAGGAGCUACCGCCUCCACGAAGGAGGUUGUAAGGAAGGAAGGAAUCGAGAAUUCCCCCAACCUGGGAAAGAAAAGGAGCGCCUCUGAAGACCCGGAGGGGAUGACCUCGAAACGGGGGAAGAAAUCUUUGUCAGAGGAUCCGGCGCCGGAGACUGCCCCGGCCGCAUUGCGCCCUCAAGGGCAUCAACUUUCCUCCGAGCUGUAAGUAAAGAGAGGGGUUCAAAAAUUAGUGGCAUCCCUGUUUUAUUUCUGAGGAAGAUAACCAAAAUAUUACCUUGCAGUUCGGAUCUCAACCCUUCUCAGCAGAGCUCGUCUUCAGGGGAUCUUCGUUCGGAGAAGAUGGAGAGCGAAACGCCUCCCCUAGCUGCACCGACUUACGAGGCAGGCGACCUCGAGGUGUCGUCCCGGCGGGUUUCUCCAAGUCUGGAUCCUAAAAAAGGUCGUCGGGCUAGUCCGGUGCCCUCUGGUGCGCGGUCGGAGAGGCUGAGGGAUCUGCUCGGGCGAGCGUCCGUCUCAGAAGAACACCAUAUGUUGAUGAACACGGUGAUAGGAAGGAUUGCAUCCGUGGAAAGUGGAUUGUACGAGGCCGCCAGGAGUUUACUGACAGGCUUUGAGGUACGUGAAAAGGUGUACCUUUUGAUAGAGCUGCAUAUAUAAAAUGCGCCCUGUAUAAAUAGUAGCCCCUGAGACUCUGUGUGUUGUCAAGAGUGAUGGCGCACAGAGGAUCAAAACCCCAGGUAUAAAAUGUCACCUUUUUUAUGAAGGUGGCGAGGCGUUUGGUGGCUAGCCGGACUGAUGAAUCUGCCGAGCUAAAGCGACAACUUGACGUGGCGGAUGCCGACAUCGCGCUUGUAAAUAAGCGGCUAGACGAGGCACAAGGUAUGCUCCACAGAUAUCUGAUAGGGGGAGUUCGAUGCUCGUGCCUUACAAUAUAUGUGCUUACUGCAGAUAGUGCUGCUGCCGUGGAGAACCUUCGGGCGGAACUUGCCCGAGCCAAGGAGCAAGCAAGGAAAAGUAAUGCGGUUGCCGUUAAGGCGGCUGAGGAGCUGAAAGCCGAACAGGCUGCUCACUGCCAGAGUAAGAAGGUAAUAACCGAGAUGGCUAUAAAAUUGAAGGAUCCUGUCGACCGCUAUAAAUUUCUCGAACAAGAAGAAAGGGCAUCUCAGAAGGACCUUGAGAAGAUCACUGCCGAGGCCAAGGAUACUCGCUCUGCAAUGAGAGCUAUGAAGGAGGAGUUGCGUCAGGCCGGAGAUAUCACGGCUGGAAAGCCCUAUAUGCUGCGGAUGAAGUUCGAGGAUCCUAGGUAUGCUCCAUUAGACCGGCAGUGGAGUGCAGAAAAUACUUAUCUGGAUUUGGCAGCGAGUGCGGCGGACGCAACCGAACACUUCCGAGGUCGAGGUGACCAUAAAUUGGAAGAACUUUUUUGGUCGCAAUUCCACAAUCCAGAACGCCCACUUUCGGUAUCCGACUGUUUGGCCGCCUUUGCGGAGCUGAACAGGUUAUCCGGACUCGCCAUGAAGUAUGUCGCGAGUCGUUUGUGGCCGGGGGAGCUAGAGCCGAAGAGUUAUUUUGGAUUGGUGCAGCAGAUCCUUGGUUCUGUGUCGCAUGUUGAUGCAAUGAAGAGGUCGGCGUGCAUAGAGGGUGCACAAAUGGCUCUUGCCCGUGUCAAGACAUACUGGGCGGAUAUGAAGACCAGUGUUGUCGCAUCCCAGGAUUCGGACAAAGGUCGGGUACCUGCCAGGCACUACUUUGAGGAAGUUCUUUCGGGCGCUCGUUUAAUAGAAGCGCAGUGCUCGAAGGAUGUUGUGUUCGAAUAGCAGGUGCUAUUGUAAAAGAAAUAUUUUGAUAGAAUAUAAAAGCUUUUUAUACGUGUGCUUGCAAGAAUUAUAAUACCUCUUGUGCGGCCGUUAAUGUAUAUGUGUAUAUAACCUGAAAGAUGGCAGUCGUUGGCUUCAGCCCCCACGCAUAUAAUGCGGGGGUGUUCGCAAAAAAUGCGCCUUUUCACACUUAAUCCAACGUCUUGGUCCUGCAAAGGAGGUGAUAGCGCGACGAACUAGGCAACCGGACUAUAAUGCUUUAUCACUUUCACUUAGCCAUAGGAGUUUGACAUCGGGGCUACUCAAUAGCCCCUAAAGGCACCGCGCUCACCCGAAUUCGGGGCGCGUGUGUGCCUGACCUGGAAGCAGUCGUUCGUUAAUGCGGAGGAAUCCUAGAAAUUCCGAGAGUCAUCGAGUGGUUGACCAGUCUCUCGCUAUAUCAUGACAGUCAGUUUUCGGCUUUCUCUACUGAGGUGCUCGCCUGGCCGAACCGGGGCACAAUCGCAGCAGUUCUCCUGGUGCCGCGUUAGCCGAUAUAACGGAACGUAAGGCAGCAAAACAUAGGAGCCGGGCAAACCCAACAUUUGACCAAAGACAUGAUUUGGAGCUGAUGCAUAUAAGGCCAAACUCGCGACGCCGAACACUCCCUAAGGUAUUCGGUCUUUAUGAAAACGGGCCAAAACAGAGCCCUUGGUAAAAAAGCCCCUGGUGUCCAGGUACGCGCAAAAUUCUGGCGUGGCCACAUGCCAAGACGCCAGCCUCCUCCUUGGUUAUAGCGAAAAUUGGACGACGUUGUCAACAAGAGACAGUAAAAAAGGUUUACGCAGGGUCUUAAUCUGAAAAGAAUCCUUGAAACGGGUCCCUGCUGCACGUCUGCGCCUGUGUCUCCGUUGUGCCGUAUCCUGGACGGGCGUAGCACGAUGUUUGUCUGCGAAAGAGAGGAACUUAGUAAAAAAAUAAGUGUGCAAGAAAUCUAUAUUAAAAUAAACAAAAUAUAGUUGGAGCAAGAAUUGAGCCGUAUUGUCUCCUGGCGUGAACACGCGGAGCCCCUUGUACAGGGUUAUGCGGCUAUUAAGCCUAUGUAGGUUUACGCCGGACUCGUCGAGCCGUGUCCGAGAUAGUAGGGCUGGAUUACUGUGCGGCUGUCCAGGCGGCCGCACCAUUACCCGUACUUUGGGGGUCAAUUGAUAUUCCCCUCUAAUGAGAUGAUGCAUCAUGGGUCGGGCAUUUUAAGUGUAAGGGAUGCAUAAUGCGGUAUCGCGUUAAAGCGGGCGAAAGCUUCACGUCCCAGUAGCGCUUGAUAGAGACUUACGAAUGGGGCGAUGUGGAAUGUUAGCUUUUCACUUCGGAAGUUGUCAGGUGAGCCGAACGUGACUUCUAACGAAAGGGAACCCAUACUCUGGGUAUCUGGACCCGGCGUGACUCCUUGAAAGGGAGUGUUGCCAUGGCGGAUUAUAGCUGGGUUUACCCCUAGUUUGCGGAUUGUGUCCUGAUAUAACAGGUUUAAGUCACUGCCGCCGUCCAUAAGGACUUGUGUAAAUUGGAGUCCGUCAAUAAUCGGAUUCAAGACCAAGGCAGUCCAUCCUGCGUUCCGGACCCCUCUGGAGUAAUCCUGAUGAUCAAAGAUGAUUGGUUGUAACAACCAGUGGCGAUGCUCCUCUGGGGCUGGCCGUAUGGCGCGUGUUUUCGUGGGCGCCGUUCUGUUUUUCCCUUUUGUCAUCUGAAGUGAAUUUACUGUUUUGACUUCUUGUGGGAACUUCUUUUGCUCUCCGGUGUUCUGCUUGUGGGGUGCGUCGUCAUCCUCGCUUGGUGUGUCGAGCCCCUUGUGUUCCGCGUUGAGUUUGCCGGACUGCUUGAAGACCCAACAAUCUCUGUGGGUAUGGUUUGCAGGUCUCCCAGGAGUACUGUGGAUUUGACAUAUUUUGUCCAGGAUUUUGUUGAGGUUAGACAGCUCGUCCCUGUCAUCUUUGGGUGGUGGCUUUUUCUGAUUUUGCUGAGAGCUUUUGAAUCUUUCGUUUACUGCCGUGCUCAUCGGGCUGUUAUCCUUGAUUCGGCGUUGUUCUUUGUUACGGCGUUGUUUCCCGUUUCCAUCUCUGAGUUCGGAUGUGCUCGGGUCGCUGGUGCUGCUUCUUGCCAACCAGCUAUCCUCUCCUGUGCAAAAGCGGGUCAUGAGGCUUGUUAAUGCGGCCAUUGUUCUUGGCUUUUCUUGGCCGAGGUGUCUGGUGAGCCAUUUGUCUAGGACGCUAUGUUUGAAAGCUGCUAGGGCCUCGGCGUCCGGACAGUCGACUAUCUGAUUCUUUUUAGUAAGGAAUCUGUUCCAGAGUUUCCGGGCUGACUCUCCAGGCUGCUGAGUUAUAUGACUCAGAUCAUCUGCAUCCGGAGGUCGGACAUAGGUCCCUUGAAAAUUUGCCCGGAAAGCAUCCUCAAGCGCUUCCCAACUUCCUAUGGUGUUUUCGGGAAGGCUUUUAAGCCAAUGCCGGGCUGGCCCUUUGAGCUUAAGGGGUAAGUAUUUUAUGGCGUGGAGGUCAUCUCCUCUGGCCAUGUGUAUGUGGAGGAUAUAAUCCUCGAUCCAGACUCCAGGGUCUGUUGUUCUGUCGUAUGCUUCUAUGUUCACGGGCUUGAAUCCCGUUGGGAAUUCAUGAUCCAGCACCUCAUCGGUAAAACAUAGGGGAUGUGCGGCGCCCCUGUAUGUAGGUGUGCCGCGAUGUUCGGACAUGUUUUGCAUUGCAUUGCUCACUAGAGCUUGCUUUCUUGGCGCAUAGAUGGAUCUGGUUGGGCCAGUUUUUUGAUGCUAAUCCUUGGGCGGAUCGCGCGCCAUAUUGAAUGCGGUGCCCUUUGUCGCUUGAUAUCGAUCGUGGGAUCGUCUAUCCGACCUUGUGGCUUCCUUAUUUUUUGACUGUGGGGGCUCUAUGGCCUCUUCGUCAAAUUCUGGUAGUAGUUUCCACUUCGGAUAGCUCUUUGUGUGACGACUGUUGCCGUACUUGUGUGCGGUAUUGAGUACUUUGCCCCAUCUGAUCCUGAGUGCAUCUUCCGCUGUUUUGAGCCUCCGCUUCUACUUUUUCAGGCUACGUGCAGUGGCAACGAGCCUUUGGUGGAGGUUCUGAUGUUCCAGCAAUUUGUCCGGCUGAGGUCAUCCGGACUGUUAUCUUUCCCGGGGAUGGUUUGUUCGGACUGUCCGCCCUGUUUGGACGGUUUCUCGAUGGCAUGUUCGUCUUCCGUUGAUUCGCCCUGCUCUAUGGUUGGGUCUUUGUCGAGGUGGGGCUUGGCGUGGUGCUUACGCCGUUGCUUUGAUUGUUUUUCGAGUGAGCGAUCCCUGCUUGUGCCCUUUUGAUCCUCGUUGUCAUUUCUUUUAGGUGUGUCCACCAUGUAUACAUCGUAUGAUGAGGUGGCUUUCCAAUGCCCUAUAGGUGCUAGUUCUUGGACGUCUCCUCCAUCGGCGUCCAUACCGUCGAUGUCUUCAGAGUCGAAGUCGAGCGUGUCGGUUAGAUCGUCGACAGUGGCUACAAAGUGGGUGGUGGGUGGGUUUCGAAUUUCUUCGUCGUCUGCAUCCCAACCCAGGCGAGCAUAGUCCGGCCAGGGCUCUCCUGACAAAGAGAGAGACGUCCGCGGCAGUGAACUCCAUGAUCAGAGCCCAAUCGGGUUCGAUCGGAAGGGGUGCGGAAUAUUCGGAGUCCGGAACAGAGUCCGGCACCUUGAAGUCGCGGGCCUUGCAAAGGACUAGGCUGGUAUUCGGCUCUAUUGCCGUAGAGGUUGCGGCUCCGGGGGCGACGUCCAACUAUCCGUCCCCGACUGGCGCAGUUGGCUCCGAACUAAUGGUCGGAGCGGACACCUGCGCGGCACUUUGGGCACUGUCCGGCGGCAGAGCUAGAUCAUGCCCAUCGAUACAGUGCGGCGCGCUCGGCCGUGGCUCGAAUCUGUCGAAGAUCAAGUCCCCGCGGAUAUCGGCCGUGUAGUUUAAGGUUCCAAACCUGACCUGAUGGCCAGGGGCAUAGCUUUCGAUCUGCUCCAGAUGGCCAAGCGAGUUGGCCCGCAGUGCGAAGCCGCCGAAUACGAAGAUCUGUCUGGGGAGAAAAGUCUCACCCUGGACCGCGUCAUGGUUGAUGAUCGAAGAAGCCAUCGGGCCCAAGCGUGACGACACAGAGGAACUCUCAAUGAAAGCACCAAUGUCGGUGUCAAAACCGGCGAAUCUCGGGUAGGGGGUCCCGAACUGUGCGUCUAGGCGGAUGGUAACAGGAGGCAAGGGACACGAUGUUUUUACCCAGGUUCGGGCCCUCUCGGUGGAGGUAAAACCCUACUCCUGCUUGAUUAAUAUUGAUGGUAUGGGUAAUACAAGAGUUGAUCUACCACGAGAUCAAAGAGGCUAAACCCUAGAAGCUAGCCUAUGGUAUGAUUGUUGUUCGUCCUACGGACUAAACCUCUCUGGUUUAUAUAGACACUGGAGAGGGCUAGGGUUACACAGAGUCGGUUACAAUGGGAGGAGAUCUUCAUAUCGUAUCGCCAAGCUUGUCUUCCACGCCAAGAAAAGUCCCAUCCGGACACAGGACGAAGUCUUCAAUCUUGUAUCUUCAUAGUCCGGGAGUCCGGCCAAAGGUCAUAGUCCGGCCAUCCGGACACCCCCUAAUCCAGGACUCCCUCAGUCCUCCAAGAAACAAAACUCGGUAUCCUUAUCCACCGCCGAAGCGUAAUACAUUGUCGCUGGUCCAUGUUGUGCUCAAUUACUCUGGAUGACCCAAACUCUUAAAGAUUAUGAGAUAUAUGUGAAACAUGUUCCAUUGCUUUGUGACAAUGAAAGUGCUAUCAAGAUUGCUCACAAUCCCGUGUAACACUCUCGAAGUAAGCACAUUGAAGUACGUCAUCAUUUCAUUCGAGAUCAUGUUGCUAAGGGUGAUAUUAAACUUAAGCAUGUUCGCACCGAUAACCAAUUAGUGGAUAUAUUCACUAAACCACUUGAUGAGAAAGUGUUUUGCAGGUUGAGAGGUGAAUUGAACAUCAUUGAUGCUGCAAACUUGGAGUAGGAACUCCAUUUGGAUACAUGCAAGACAUGAGCCUUUGACUAAUCCUUGAUGUUUCUCUUAUGAUGAUAAUCAUAUAUCUUGGAUGUAUUUGCACCCUUGCAUGCUAUCUAACCCUUGUAGGUAGUUGGAUGAAUCUAAAUCCAUGAGAUUGCAACUCACUCACAUCUUGAGCAAAUCUCUACAUCACCAAGUCUCUACACAAUGGUGAUUGAAGACAAGGAAGCAUGAAACUCUUCAAACAUAUCCUUUGACAAAUUCUACAUUGAGCUUUAUGAUUGUCAUUUUAGAUACACAAGUGCUCUUCCUUGCAAUACUAACACAUGUAGGAAGAUGAACUCAAAUUCCAAGUGGAGCUCCAAAUUCUUGAUGAGCUACAUCAAACUUGAGCAACCCACACAAGUUCAACUACAUGAUCACGUUCAACACCACCACCCAAGGUAUGUUAUUCCAUCUUGGAGAAGUUUUACUCCAAGUCAUGAGUCAAAGCAACUCAACAAGAUGUGAAUACAUCAAAAUGCUUAAACAAAAAAUGGUAACCCCAUUUUGAGCUUAAACGAUGAGUAUGACCUAUGAUCAAGUGAUCUCACUUGACUCCUAAGUCAAUAUACUCUAACAUAGGUGACUUUGUCGCCGACCAAUUCUAGAGAAGUUCUCUUGUGUUAUUUUCUGUGCUCUUGCAUUUGUCUCAUGCAUAUUUGUUUCCCCUUUCAAAAAAAACUUCAUCUAGAUUUUUUCUGUUCUUUUUUGUUCUGCAUUCCCUACAUUCAAUUUCUUGCAAAUCUUUUAGUUAAUUCCUUGCACAUUCUUGUGAGAUCUUACUUGUCUAGUGAGCUGAGGUGACAAGUGUUUUCUCUGUGAUGAACUCGGUCACACUGGUCUGUUGUUUUUGGUCUAACUGAAAUCUUUCGAUGCAACCGAAGCACACAAGUCGGUGCCACUGAUUUCACCACAGGAAAAACAGCUUGCUACUUGUUCCUGCAUUCUUUUUGGUCCAGCUCCACUCAAUGAUUCUUGUUCUCUACCAACAUCACAUUCGUCUUGCUGCUUUGUUCUGUGACUCAAGGGCCAAACCCAUUUGUGACAAAAAUUCAGAAGAACCCUUCUUGGGAAUUGAUGUCAAAGGGGGAGAGAGAGAGAGAUCACAUCAAAGCUUAAUCAUUCCCUUAGGGGGAGAAAAUACUCAGGGGGAGAGAGUUCUCCAGAUGCUUGGUGUUCAAGAGGAGAGAAGUUACAUGUCUUUAAGAGGGGAAAGACAUGUUCAUAUUUGAUUGUUGCAUUAGCUCUAUUUCUUUUCUUUGCUCUAAUUUUCUGUUCCCUAUAUCUUCUCCCAGUAUCCCAUGCUAGAUUCAGGGGGAUCAAGACUUCUAAGGGAAGGAAAUCCUUGAAUUCAUUGCACAUCUUUACCUUUGGGGACAUGUCUAUAUCCAAUAGGGUACUCAGUACUCACUCUCUACAUGUCAUCCCAGUCUUGGUACUCUUGUGGUUUCUUUUGUUUGCCCUGGCUAGUAGGUUUAUCUGUGUUAUCUAACCUUGUUUACGCAGGUUCAUUCCUUCCUAAGCCAACUCAAGACCACAAGGUAAGUAUAUGCAUCUCAGUCAUGUGUAUGAGGAUUUAUUGCUGAUGUACAUACUGUUUGCAAGAAGGACUCAUGAGCAUGAAGGUACAUUUCCCAUAUUCACAUCAUUUGCUCUGAUGCAUAUAGCCAAGAUACAUGUAACACAUUUCUUUCUCUGUCAUGCUUAUGCAUUCACAUGCUCCUAUAUUCCAUAUUUACAUGAUUGCAUACAUGUAGGGGGAGCCUAUGCAUGUUACAUGUCUUUCCAAAGCUUUACUUGUUAUUCUCUAUAUCUUUAUCUAAAACUUUGAUGUAUGUUGUCAUCAAUUACCAAAAAGUAGGAGAUUGAAAGCACAAGUGCUCCCUGGGUGAUUUUGGUAAUUAAUGUCAACAUGUCUCUUGUUGGACUAAUACUUUUACCUAGUAUGUUUCAGAUAAGUUCAACAAUGGAGUGUCAUGGACUAGAGGAUGUGGAACCCCUUUAAGAUGCUAAGGACAAAGGAUUGGCUCAAGCUCAAAGCACAAGACUCUACAUUUUACUUUUUAGUGAUCCAAGAUCACAUUGAGUCCAUAGGAAAGCCAAUACUAUUAAAAGGGGAUGAGGUGUUGCUUAAUGGCUUGCUUGCUCAAAGUGCUUAGUGAUAUGCUCCAAAGCCCUCAACCACUUUCUCACAUCCACAUAUGUCCCAAACCAAAAGUCAAACUCGGCCCCACUGAUACUUUCUAUCCGGCGCCACCGAGUUCAGUUGACAUAGCCACUGCCAUAAACCCUAGUCUUUUCGGUCUCACCGAUAUGGAUCUCGGCCUCACCGAGAUGGGAUUGCAAUCUCUUUGUUUCCCUUCGUAACAUUUCGGUCAAACCGAGAUAAGCGAUUGGUCCCACCGAGAUUGCAAUGCAAACUCUCUAUUUCCCUUUCGUAACGUUUUGGUCCAACCGAGAUGAGCGAAUUGGUCCCACCGAGUUUGUCUGACCAACUCUUUGUUUGUCUAUUACCAAAAUCGGUCUCACCGAGUUUGUGUAAUCGGUCUCACCGAGAUUACGUUAUGCCCUAACCCUAACGAUAUCGGUCCCACCGAGUUGACGUGUCGGUCCCACCAAAAUUCCUAACGGUCACAUUAUGAACUAAAUCGGUCUGACCGAGUUUCACGAUUCGGUCCCACCGAGUUUAGUAAGUUGUGUGUAACGGUUAGAUUUUGUGUGGAGGCUAUAUAUACCCCUCCACCCACUCUUUAUUCGUGGAGAGAGCCAUCAGAACAUGCCUAUACUUCCAAUAUACAUUUUCUGAGAGAGAACCACCUACACUUGUGUUGAGGUCAAGAUAUUCCAUUCCUACCACAUGAAUCUUGAUCUCUAGCCUUCCCCAAGUUGCUUUCCACUCAAAUCUUCUUUCCACCAAAUCCAAAUCCUGUAAGAGAGAGUUGAGUGUUGGGAAGACUAUCAUUUGAAGCACAAGAGCAAGGAGUUCAUCAACUACACACCAUCUAUUACCUCUUGGAGAAUGGUGUCUCCUAGAUUGGCUAGUGUCACUUGGGAGCCUCCGUCAAGAUUGUGGAGUUGAACCAAGGAGUUUGUAAGGGCAAGGAGAUCGCGUACUUCAUGAAGAUCUACCCGAGUGAGGCAAGUCCUUCGUGGGCGACAGUCAUGGUGGGAUAGACAAGGUUGCUUCUUCGUGGACCCUUCGUGGGUGGAGCCCUCUGUGGACUCGCGCAACCGUUACCCUUCGUAGAUUGAAGUCUCCAUCAACGUGGAUGUACGAUAGCACCACCUAUCGGAACCACGGAUAAAAAAUCUUCGUGUCUCCAAAUUGCGUUUGCACACUCCAAUUUCAUCCUUUUACAUUCUUACAAUUUGCAUGUUUACUCUCCGCUGCUCAUAUACUCUUUACAUGCUUGCUUGAUAUGUAUUGUGAAUGUUAAAACUUAUGCAAAACUUCACUUCAACUUAAAAAAAUAAAAAACUGCAACUUUUCUUACUUAGAGUCUAUUCACCCACCCCCUAGACACCUCUUCUCAAUCCUUUUAAAAGUGCAUGUGCAAAACACAAGUUUAGCUCGUUUGUCUCUUAGAAGUACAAAAGGUUGUUGAGGUGGAUGUUAGGUGAUAAUUUUUAGAUUACACAGGCAUGAUGCAAUGUUCUAAUGAACUUUGGUUUAGUGAUUUUAAAUAACGAGUACCCUGUGUGAUGCAAGAAUAUGUAAAAAUUAUAAUAUUCCAUUGAGAUAUUAAAAUUUCUGAGUUGAAGAGGCUAUUAUUGUCCCACUGUUUUUUAUUGAACAAAAGCAAAAGCGUUGUCUGAUUAUAAAAAAUGGUUACGCGGUUAAUUGUGAAAAUCGGGUGAAUACCGAAUUAAAAUCACAAAAACACACUAACCUCAUAAACACAAACAAACGGGACUCUAUUUCAUCGAGACUAGCUAGCCUCUCAUCACGGCUGGACAGAAGAAGACGAGACUGCGAUGGGAGGAGCAGACUUGAAAUCCUGUUCAGAGGUGACAAAGCAAACACUCCACAAGACCACACCCCAAUUGGUCCGCCCCAACGAGGGCAACUUCCCCGCCCACGUCUAAGAAUGUGUAGUUCGUUUGUUAAAACCAAAGGAAGGAUUACGGUGUGAAAAUAUCAAAUAUACCUUUACUGUACAAAACGAAUAGACUGUACUCACCUAAAACGUUUUAUACUAGUAAAUUGUAGUCCCUCCGUUCGAAAAUACUUGUCAUCAAAAUGGAUAAAAGAGAUGUAUCUAGACGUAUUUUAGUUAUAGAUACAUCUCUUUUUACCCAUUUUGAUGACAAGUAUUUUCGGACGAAGGGAGUACGUGCUUUGCAUGUCACUUAAAUAUUAUAUAUAUAAAGCAUGGAAAAAUACAUUUGAAUAUGUAUUUCCUUUUCUAGAAUCGUAUCGUACAAGGUCUAACUUGAUUCUUACCUCUCUAGAAUCCAGAUUGUUCUAGUCUUUUUUCAUUAGAGUAUCAGAUGAGCAUGUGGAUAGAUACUUCUAAAACACAUGAGAUGGUAGAGUUGGGGGUUCAAUUAGAAGUCCACGUGGCACAAUUCUAUGAGUUGAAAACUUUAUCCAACGGAUGAUAAUGAUUGGAUUUGCCAUCUCUUGACCGUUGGAUGGGCAUAUCUAACGACUAAGAGCAUCUCCAGCCGCGCCCCUAACAGGCCCCCCCAAGGCGGUUUUUUACCGCCGGCGGCCGAAAAUCGGCCCAGUCGCGCCCCCAUGAUCUCGUUUAGAGUCGGUUUGGGCCGAAAUAACAGCCGGCGAACCCGAGCCGAACUCAAGCGCCCGGGGGUCGCCUGGGAACGCCUGCGGAAGCGAAAAAGGGUGUGGGGCCGCUCCGUCGGCGAGAGGAGGCCCUUUUCCCGGUGUUUCCUCCCGCUUUCCCCCCUCGGCUUCCCUAUCAUUCUCCAUUCCUCCCGCCAAUCUCCUCCUCCUCCCCUCCCAGCCGGUCGCCAUGCCGUCGAAUAAGUACGUGGCCCCACGCGCCGUGACAGAUACCACCGCCGCCGUCGCCCAGCCGAAGCAGAGGAAGUAGAGGGCGCCGCCGUCCAAGCCCCCGGGCAUGUCUAACGCCGACUGGAAGGCGAAAGUUCAGCGUCGGGAGGCUGUCACCACCGACCGGCGGAACAGGGCAAACGCCAAGAAGGCCCGGGACAGGGCGGCGCUCGCGGCUGCGGCGGUGGCGGAGCACUCGCCCGAGGCGGCUCGCGCGGGGAUGAUGAAUCCGCCCGGCGGCCACGGCCCGUACGCGUCCUGAAGCCAGCAAAGCGUCGGAUCUCCGGCCGGCUUCUCAUCGUCGCCACAACCCUGGGGCUGCACGUCGUCGCCGGGCUACGCCAACGGCGACGCGCACGGCGGGUUCAACCCCAACAUCAUCUUCCCCCAUGGUCAUCCGGCCCAGCGCACGCCCUCGCCUGCCUUCACCGGCCUACUCAGCCUCCCCGACGCCACCUCUCCGCCGUUGCGCGCUGCUCUUCUCACAAGCCUCCUCGCCGCAUGCUCCGGAGCGACGACAAGCAGCUCAAGGCGUGGUACCUGGUGGAGCGCGGCCUCAUCCUGAACCAGAUGCCGGCGACGGUGCCGCCAACUACCACGCCGACGCCAACGUCGCCGUCAAGCCCGAGCGAUGAUGCCUUCACGACGCCCAGCAAUACAGAAGUCGCUCCGACGCCGCCCAGCACAGAAGCCGCGCCGACGCCGGAGGCCGACACCGGCGUUUGAUGCAUUGCCUAUGCGUCCUUUUUUUUUUGCACGCCGAACUUUUCAUUUUAUCGCUGAACUGUGGCAAGUUGAUCGCCGAACUGUGCCGUUGAUCGCCGGACUCAUGGCGUGUUUUGAAGCGGGAAUGGAUCAAGUUUGAAUUUGCGACGCCUUGGGGGCGGCUCCUGGGGGCUUGGCUGGGACCUAGAUCGCCCCCAGGGUCUAAAAAUCGCUGGGUGAGCGCCCGAAAGAGCGUCGGCCUAUGCGUUGGGGGAACGAGUGGAGAUGCUCUAAUAUUUGAAGCUAUUGGCACACUAUAUAGUGGUAUAGAAAAGUUUAGAGAGGGUAUUUCAUAUUUGCUUUUUUUUCCUCCCUUUUUGAGGGGUCUGUAUUUCACAUCUCGGGAUACAACACACACCGUGAACAAAACGGUGAAAUGUCUAGCUAAAACGACUUGCCACCCCAAGAUGACAGGCCUGGCAUGACGCGAAACAAACGCGCAAAGUAAUUGGAAAAAUGAAAUGCUAGUGCAUGCCCAUGACUACGGGUGUUCUCUUCUGGCCAGGCAUGGCCCGCGCGUCACAACGGAACGGCUAGGUCCAGCACUGCUCCACCCACAGGAGCGGCUCGUGCAGCGCGGCUUCGCCGCCGUCGUAGUCGUCGGCAGCCGUCGCCCAGGUAGGCGAGCACCAGAGGCCGUCCCUCAGGUCCAGCAGAAGGUCGGGCAGGUCGAACAGAGCGUUCUCCUCGACGCUGCCGGCCGUACCGGAGCUUGCGGCCGAUGUCUCGGUCGAUGUCGUCGGCGUCUCUGUUGUCUCGGCGACGGAGGAAGAAGACUCGCAUUGGGCGGCGGCCGAGGCGGCCGCGGCCUGGAUGUCGGCCGGGGAGGUGGACGCCGGACGGGGGAGCGCGUCGGCGAGGUGCGGGAAGUUGAGGUGCGCGCGGCGGCCCUUGAUGGCGACCGCGGCCACGUCGUGCGCGCGCGCGGCCAUCUCCGCGGUCGGGAAGGUGCCGAGCCAGAUGCGCGACUUCUUGCGCGGCUCUCGGAUCUCCGACACCCACUUGCCCCAGCUCCGGCGACGCACGCCGCGGUACGACGGGUGCCUUCCGGCCGUGCGCUCGUCCGCGGCGGCGGUGCAGCUGCUGCUCUCCUCGGCCCGGGCCUCCGCCUCUUGGCUGCCGGUGCCAGGAGCAGCAGGAGAAGUGGCGGUUUGUCUCUUGCGCUUCAGAUGCUUGGGCUCACUCUUGGACACGUCGUGUACGCCAUUGAUGGCAGUCGAAUCGGAGGAGUAGGAGGAGGAAGAGGAGGUGGCGGGUGCAUGGAUCGUGUCAGACUCCAUGGCUCUAGUCCUCUCUACAAGGGAGCACCAGACAAGGCUCCAGGCUGGGGAGGGAAGGUGGUGCGCGCGACUAUAAAUAGUGGAUCUGUUAGUGGAAGCCUACGUUUUAUUUUCUCUAAACAAAAGAUAUCGCCACCAUGCGGAGCUAAAAAAGAAAUAAAGCUGAUGUUGUUGUUAGGAUCUCCCGAAUUAACAAAUCUGCGCGAAAUUCUGCGGCCAGUUAGAUAUUUGCAAGCUGGUGAGACCACCAACACAUGGAUGGCUUGCAUUGGUAACGCUAUAGUAGACAUAACCAACCAGCGACCGUCCAAAUGCUACCAAUUACUUCUACUCGUAUUACCUAACUCAGAACUCCAGUUGUAUAAGAAGCAUAUGCAGUCCGGCCAAAUGAUAAUUUUCUUCUUGCUGUUGUUUUAUUUUACGACAUAACAUACACACGGCCACGCGAGUUUGGAGGAGGCAGCUGUCCUCCUCAGAGACGAGGACUACACCUCAACAACUAGCCGUUAAGUAGAUUGUCACUGGGAGCAAGACUCCUUCAAUCAAUCGGGCUGCUUGGUUCAACACCUUCCUGUAGGAAGGUGGUGGUUACUGUUUCGUGUGCCCACUUGCGUGGGACUGAGCUGCUUGCUGGUACUCCCUCCGUUCUGAAUUACUUGUCUUAGAUUUGUCUAGAUACGGAGGUAUCUAGCACUAAAAUGAGUCUAGAUACAUCCGUAUCUAGACAAAUCCAAGACAACUAAUUCGGAACGGAGGGAGUACGAUUUCGGGAACAACGAUAUGCGAACGGCAAUGCCGCACCGGCCUUGGUAAGCAAGACCCGGAAGCAAGAGCCCGGAACGGUGGCGCGUCGUGCGCCUGGCAAUUUCCACAAAGUCCUCGCUUUACUAUUGGUGCCGAGAUGCCAUCGAGCCAUUAACAAGAAUAAAAUUCCAUUAACACGUUCCAGUCAAAAAACGACCCUGACUGACAGAUCUGAUACAAAUAGGAAUGCCUCAAGUUGCUGAGCAGCACAAAGAUUAAAUAAAUGAAUAAUAAUGCUACGAUGGUUUCGUCAUGGAAAAUGCACCAGCACACACACGACCAACUCACCCAACCAAGUCUGAAAUAUCAAAGUCUGGGCUCCAAAAUAAUACUGCUAGUACACGACACAGUAGGCAAUAGGCCAACAAAAGGAUGAAUGAUACUUAUGGCUAACAACCUCAUAAUCUUAAGAGCCAAGAAUAAUAAUACCGCGCAUCAGAUCAGCAGCUACUUUAAUUAAACGACAAAGGAACAAUAGAAUGCAGUCGAUUACUGCCGUUGCCGGCGCCUCCUUACUGCUGGGCGCACUGCACACCCC
rnacentral:lncRNA from 1 species